UUUGGAAUUUAAUUCCUGCAACAUUGAAGUCUUUAUAUAAAAUAAUAUAGUAUUUUUUGUUUUAAAAAAAAAAAAAGAAGCAGAAUCAACUAAUACAUAACUGAUAAUAGGAUGAGGAACCUCCUCCAUCCAAAUUAUUUCCUCUAAAACAAAAAAGAAAAUUUAGCAAGCUCAUGAGCAGCUUAGUUUUUUACUCUAAGAGCAUGAAAAAUUCUAGUUAAAAGAAUCCAACAUCUGUAGUCUUAUACCAUAAUCCAGUAUCUGGUAUUUUUCAAGCAUUGCAUGCUGCACCAUGGAUAGAGAAUCCGUUUCCAGCGUAGGGAAGAGAGAUUGUUGCUUCAAUUCUGCAUUUUCCGGUGAGAGAGAGACACGAAGAACCUUAGUUCCCAAUCCCAGAACAUCACAAGCAUCAUUUCUGAGAACAAAACCCAUCCUACAGCUCUAAUUGUCCUUAAUAGAUGCAUUAUCUUCUCUCAAAACUGAUAGGUUGGCCUAUUGAAAAUCAAAAAUAUAGUUUAGACCGAGAUGCACAGAUUUGUUCCUUUGUUAAAUGGAGCUACUAAAACUUGACGAGAUUCUUGCUUUCCACAAAGCCUAAGCAAUCAUGGAAAAAAUCUCCAGCUGUUGGGUUUUAAAACGAGACGUAAUCUUGUCAAACUAAUCAACAAAAACCUCAGUUUGCGAUUGAGCAGAUAAUAAUCACAAGAGACACGUCUUCACACUCUUUGAGCUAAUUAAUAACCCUUUAGAAUAUGAAUUGUAGUCUCUAAUGCCUCUCAACAAGAUAUACAAACUAGAUCAAUAUUUAAGCCUCUCUUAUCAAGUAUGACGAGCUCUCAAAGGAAUUGAUUGUGUAACCCCCUAGAUGCAAUGAAAGUCUCGUACCCCCAAGUGUUAUGUAAAUUAAGUAAAUAAGUAAUGAAGAUAGCAAGAAGUAUGCUCAUACUACUUUUGAUCCUUCAAUAUUCUGCCAGAUGCUGAAUCACUUAGAUUAGACCACUGUGAGUCUCUUCACUGAAAUACUGAAACUUGCUUAAUUUUUCUUAGUUCAUGUCAAUUUACUGUGUAUUUCUUUGUAGAUCCAGAAAUACCCAUGGGGCAAGUUGCUGAUUUUCCAGACUUUAUCUAGGCAUCCAUGCCCUAUCAGCAGAGGAGGCUGCUCCUACCCAAUUUCUUCUACGAUGUGUACUACCUCAAAGAGAGGAUAUAUGAAUAGGAGCUAGGCACUGCAUAGAGGAGAGUGUCGGAUGGAGUCUCAUACUUCAUGAUGGCGACUUGGGAGAUAAAGGGCGAGAUGAUUGCCACGGCGCGGCGUGGGUACAACAGCUACUGAUCAUUUGGCUAACUUUGUACCCGGUGCUUAUGCGAUCUUUGCUCGGACUCAGCUGCUGAUAUGAGUACCUCCAUCUGCUGAUGAUGAGUCAGCUCCAGAGGAAGAAGCAGCGGCAAAGGAUCGGGGGGCUGCCCCUUCCCGCACAAGUAUCAUUUUCUCUUCUUCUCUAUGCUUUGCCUCAGCGUGUCAUAUAAUUGCUUACCAUUGGUGCUUUAUUAUUGCAGCAGCAGUGCGGCAAGUCUGUCAGGAGGGGAUCUGACACCGAGGCGCCAGACUCUGCUAUUGUCGGUGAGCCAGAGCAUGCCCUAGGGGCUUCUUUUACCUUUAUUUCUGCACGCACGGGACUGACCGUGCAAGGCAUACUAGAGACGCACACAGUGAGUCCAUACCGGAUGUCUCUGCCUGGUUGCACUCACGUAAGUUUGGUUUCCUUAUUUUCAGUCUUUUCUUUAUUAUUUUUCGUUCCCAACGAAUGCCCCUGCCUUGUUCUGCAGGUAUCCAUUCAGGACCACAACGAGGUAUGCCACCUGUGUGCGGCUACAAGGCUCAAGCUUGCUGUGACGUGGCUCUUCGACAAACAUAUAUUUGUAAGUAAAAAAACAAAACAGAAAGAAGAUGCAAUAUGCAUGUCAUGUAUGCCUGUUAUGCGAUUCUAAUGGGCUUAAUGUAUGCAGACAGCUAGCAUGGCGCAAGGAGAUUGAGGUCGCGAUGCUUGUGUAGGUGGUAGAGCUGGUCAUGGCGUCGAACGAAAUCACAGAUCAGUUGUGAUUGGAGAGGCCGAUGAUGCUGAGAGCGAGGACUCGGAGGAGACUGCCUCGUAUAUGCAUAGAGCGGUUGUGCUUCUAUCCUCCUUAAUCUUGGGGAAUGUUGUUACUCUUGUAAAGAAAUUCGAACAUUUGUUGUUUAUAUCAAAGUAAUUGUCGAUUUUCCAUUGCUUCUGAGUUUACAUCAUGUAUGCUUGCUUUAUAAAUGUUGUUGAAGUGGCUUCUGAGCUUGUAAACUUGAGAUUCAGCAAGGAUCAUAUUAAGGAAAAUCAAUAUAGUACAUGUAUUCCUAGUUAGUUCCUGAGUAUAUUCCUAAUUAGUUUAUGAUUUGUAUUCCUAAAUAGCUAGAUAGCAUAGGAAUUCCUUAUAUAUAGACCUAUGUAAUCGAUUGAUGAGAUACAAGAAAUACAACUACAAUAUAUUCUCUCAAGAUGUUAUCAGAGCCUUCCAUUCAAAAAAAAAAAAAAAUCCCGAAACUUUCCUUGCGAGAAGCCAUUGCCACCCUAGGAAGCCUUUCUAGGGUUAGUAUUUUGUCUCACCACCGACCUCAGGAUAUUCUCCAGCCGCUGAUUAGCGCCUCCCUAGAAUCCGUUUGCCGGAUUCCAAGUGAAUGGCCCCCAUGCGUCACCUCUUUCUUCCUGCUCUGGUUCAUGCGCUAGCGCAUGUCCAGUGGUCUUUUUCACUCCGGUUCCUCUCUCCGGCGUUGACUUGAAGAGAGACGUGCAACCCAGUGAGUUGCAUUAUUAUUCUUGGGCUUAUUCAAUAGGUUUGUUUGCUGCGAUUCUGUUGUAGCUGUGUCGGGCAGUGUUCUGCUACUGUUGUUGCUUUCAUUUGCUGAGGAAACCUAUCUUUUCCUUUAUUGUGACAAUUGUUUUAGGUAAUUUUUGGUGAUUUUCUAGUGAUUCCUUAUUACAUUAGGGUUUGGUACUGCACAUUUACUGCAGUUAUGGUUAUUCUGCUUUUGAACCUUCUCCUUUGUCGAGAGCAGUGCAACCCCAGUGAGUUGCAUUGUGUUCUUGGCCUUCAAUGGUGUGCUCCGUUUGCUAGAGUUUCCUUUGCUGUGUUUCUGAAUAUCUGCGCUACUGGGCUUCCUCUUUGAGGCAUUGAUUAUGGAAGCUUGAAACAGCCCUAUGAGUUUUUUUCUAGUUUAGUGAGAUUUGUUUCGACAACCUAAGUGUGUUGUCUUAAUUCUGCUGCUACUAUUUGGUUUGGGAUUCUAUAUUGCUAUAAUGAAGUGGGUACAGUUGCUGAGUAUGGUAUUGUGUUUUGCUGAAAGUAGUAAUUUGUAACAAGUUGAGCAUGAUUAACAUCUAUGCUCCAACUUGAGGGGGAGUAUUAAGGAAAAUCAAUAUAGUACACGUAUUCCUAAUUAGUUCCUAAAUAUAUUCUGUAACAUCCCAUUUUUCUAUGUCUGAAAAAGUAAGUUGUGACAUCCUACUGAAUCGAGUCGUUGCUUAGAGUCGAGUCGGGCUGAUCCAAAACUCGAUUCGAGCCAUUAGAGUCCAGAGUGGGGUAGAAUGGGAUGUAACUGAAAUAAGGAAAAGAAGUGGACUUACUUGAAGGAAGCAAAAAGAUCAAAGUAUAAGGAUUAGGACUUACUUGCACUAAAANNNNNNNNNNNNNNNNNNNNNNNNNNNNNNNNNNNNNNNNNNNNNNNNNNNNNNNNNNNNNNNNNNNNNNNNNNNNNNNNNNNNNNNNNNNNNNNNNNNNNNNNNNNNNNNNNNNNNNNNNNNNNNNNNNNNNNNNNNNNNNNNNNNNNNNNNNNNNNNNNNNNNNNNNNNNNNNNNNNNNNNNNNNNNNNNNNNNNNNNNNNNNNNNNNNNNNNNNNNNNNNNNNNNNNNNNNNNNNNNNNNNNNNNNNNNNNNNNNNNNNNNNNNNNNNNNNNNNNNNNNNNNNNNNNNNNNNNNNNNNNNNNNNNNNNNNNNNNNNNNNNNNNNNNNNNNNNNNNNNNNNNNNNNNNNNNNNNNNNNNNNNNNNNNNNNNNNNNNNNNNNNNNNNNNNNNNNNNNNNNNNNNNNNNNNNNNNNNNNNNNNNNNNNNNNNNNNNNNNNNNNNNNNNNNNNNNNNNNNNNNNNNNNNNNNNNNNNNNNNNNNNNNNNNNNNNNNNNNNNNNNNNNNNNNNNNNNNNNNNNNNNNNNNNNNNNNNNNNNNNNNNNNNNNNNNNNNNNNNNNNNNNNNNNNNNNNNNNNNNNNNNNNNNNNNNNNNNNNNNNNNNNNNNNNNNNNNNNNNNNNNNNNNNNNNNNNNNNNNNNNNNNNNNNNNNNNNNNNNNNNNNNNNNNNNNNNNNNNNNNNNNNNNNNNNNNNNNNNNNNNNNNNNNNNNNNNNNNNNNNNNNNNNNNNNNNNNNNNNNNNNNNNNNNNNNNNNNNNNNNNNNNNNNNNNNNNNNNNNNNNNNNNNNNNNNNNNNNNNNNNNNNNNNNNNNNNNNNNNNNNNNNNNNNNNNNNNNNNNNNNNNNNNNNNNNNNNNNNNNNNNNNNNNNNNNNNNNNNNNNNNNNNNNNNNNNNNNNNNNNNNNNNNNNNNNNNNNNNNNNNNNNNNNNNNNNNNNNNNNNNNNNNNNNNNNNNNNNNNNNNNNNNNNNNNNNNNNNNNNNNNNNNNNNNNNNNNNNNNNNNNNNNNNNNNNNNNNNNNNNNNNUGCUCCAUUGAGGUUAGGUAGAAACCACUUAGAUAAGGCUAUGUCACGACAUAGGAUAGCAGAUCUGUGCUUCAUACAGUUUGGUACUCCGGCUACAAGCCGUUGAGUGAAUAUGAUUAUAUAAUGGCCAUAGCAGCCCAGUCAUACUGUAUUCAUCCAGUUUCAUACAAUUCUUCUUAUCACUUUGGUUUCAUUAUAACCUUAUGAAGCUAUAUAGUUAUAUUGACUACAAAUUGCAUAAUCAUACAGUAUAAUGAGCAACAAGUACGAUAAUGAAAGUAUCAUGAUAUGUGUGCUUACAUUCCAUAUGUGAUUACAUGUUUUUUUAUACAUAUGUAUGUGCUUCCUUGUUCCUUUAUUCAUUGCGAUAUUCACUGAGUUGUAAUAAAAGUUGCAGAAUUCAUACAGCAUAAANNNNNNNNNNNNNNNNNNNNNNNNNNNNNNNNNNNNNNNNNNNNNNNNNNNNNNNNNNNNNNNNNGGAGCCAUACAGUUAUGAGAUUUUAUUAAUCAUAACUUAUAUGAUGUGAAUAAAAAGUGCAAAAGUCAUAUAGCAUAAUGAACAGUAAGUAAGACAAUGAAAAUUUACUGUUAUGUGUUCUUACAUGUUUAUUGAUUUCAUUCAUACAGCAUAAUGAACAGUAGGUAAGAUCAUGAUUGUGACAUCCUGGCCAUCAGGGGGCAUUCGCCUUAGGCGAAUCCCACAUCGGCUACGGACGAGGUAAACGAUCUAUACAUAAGAGGGGUAGUCUCUAACCUUGGUAGGCGCCUUUUGAGCUGGCAGAGUGGGUGACCCCUGGCUCAAAGGGACAAAACCGUGAGGUGUAGGGACAUCCGGGCCAUCCGGAGACUAUGCCAAAGCGGACAAUACUUACCAAGGGUAGGGCUAUGACAAUUUGUCCGCUUUGGCAUAGUCCCCGGAUGGCCCGAAUGUCCCUACACCUCACCGGUUUGUCCCCCUUCGCCACAUCCUGGCCAUCAGGGGGCAUUCGCCUUAGGCGAAUCCCACAUCGGCUAUGGACGAGGUAAACGAUCUAUACAUAAGAGGGGUAGUCUCUAACCUUGGUAGGCGCCUUUUGAGCUGGCAGAGUGGGUGACCCCUGGCUCAAAGGGACAAAACCGUGAGGUGUAGGGACAUCCGGGCCAUCCGGAGACUAUGCCAAAGCGGACAAUACUUACCAAGGGUAGGGCUAUGACAAUGAUAGUAUCAUGAUAUGUGUGAUUAAAGGUUCAUGUAAAGGAGUUAUGAGAUAAUUAGAACUCAAUUAUUUAUGUUCUGAAUUAGAAGUUUAUUCUGUACUAUAAAGAUACAUUUAUGUUGACAUUUACUGAUUCUAUGAUUAUCAAUGCUUUUAUGAAAUUUGUAUUUUAAGUAAGAUGCCAUCGCACUUUGUUAAGUAUGUGAAUUACGAGCACCACUGAGUUUUGUACUCAGUGCGUCGAUUUUUAUCACGCGUAGGUUAAAGAUCGUGGUUGCUACUUGAAGACUUGAAGAGUGCUAUCAAAGUAGAAGUGACGAAUUUGGGAGUAGUAGAUUGAGAGUUACUUAUGAAAUGUGAUUGGAAAUAUAAGUGAAGCAUGUAAUUAUUUUGGUGUAAGUAGUUGGAGAUAAGAAUAAUACUUAUGAAAUGAUUGAAUAUGAAAUAUUUUACUAUAGUUGGUAUGAUUAGUUCAUGAAGACUUGACAUAUAUAUAAUGAAUGCAAUUAAUUGCUGGAUAUUAAAUGCUAUUGAGGAUUUAUACAGUUAUGAAAAUAUAUAUAUAAAGUGUUAUUGUGUUAUGAUGAUUAGUUGGAGAUAUUGGAAGUUGGAGUUGAAUUGGGAGUGUUUGAUAUUCAUAUUUAGCACAGGAUGAUAUCAGCAUGACAGAACAUAAGUUCAACCAGAUUAUAGCGUCUCGGCUCGGUUCAUUCAGGUUAGCGGGUGGACCGGGAAGGGAUGUUACAUAUUCCUAAUUAGUUUAUGAUUUGUAUUCCUAAAUAGCUAGGUAGCAUAGGAAUUCCUUAUAUAUAGACCUAUGUAAUCGAUUGAUGAGAUACAAGAAAUACAACUACAAUAUAUUCUCUGCACAGAUCCCAAAUUUACUACUGUCAAAGCUGAAGUAGCGUGCACCACUAUAACUGUGGCUGGCACCGCACAUAAUGGUGUCCGCCAGUAUCAGUAUAGUGCCAGACAACUGUUAAUUUCGUCCUUUAUUUUUGCUAUAAAAGCCCAUUUCUCUCAAAAAAAUGUAGCUCUAACUCAGAAACUACCCCAAAAACAUUUCAUCUCUUCUUUAUUUCUUCAUGGAUCGAACUUUGACACCCAUAUUUGAAGCAUUGUUUUGCAAUUUAACCUGGGACGAUUGGGAUACACUUUCACCCUUUGAGCUGAACGAGCUGAGUUAUUAUUGAACAUUCGGGUCUAACCCGGAUUGUUGUAAUGUUUGAUCAACUAUUUUUUACCAUUCGAACAAUUUAUUUCAGCAUAAUGACUUCGAGAUCUAUCCAUUUUUUGAAGAGUUUAGCAUUAUUUCCAAUAGGAUACCCCUGACUGAAGAAAUUCAUGUGGUGCCUUGGCUCGAUGUCAACCCAGCUUCGUUGAUACUUCAUGUGUUUGGCUUUUUGGCUUAGAAAGUUCAAGCAAAUGGAAAGGAAAUUGACAGUCCCUUGCAGCCAUUACUAGAGUAUGCAGUGGAGAUGGAUUGCGCUAAUCUGCACUGGGCUUCUCUUAUUUGCUUUUGCAUUCUAAGCCAAUACUUGCUGUUGAGCGGUAUUGACGGUUAUGGCAACCUUUAGCUAAUAACCAUAGUUGAACAGAUGGCUAGGUGAUGCACGUCGUUUUCACUUAUUCUUGCUGAGACUCUGACUUAGCUAGGAGUCUGUGCUCGGGAUCCGGACUCAGAGCUGGAUCCAAUGGGGAGCCCGCUUCUACUGCAAGUAAAUGCAUUGUAUUAUUGUUCCUGUUUUUAUGCUCUAACUUUUGCUUAAGCCGCCCUUGCAGGUUUUCAACUUAACGAGCUUUUGCUUUUAUUUUCUAUUCUUUCAUUUUUUUUGCUUACUCUAAUUUUUGCUUAAGCAGCCCUUACGGGUUUUCAACUUAAGGAGCAUUUUUCUUCCUUUUUUCUUUUUGUAUUUUUUUUUUUUUUUUUUGAAUGCAUUUGCAGUUAUGGGCUUAUGAGAAGCCUCAAGUGAUGAACCCACCAUCAGACUAUCUGAUGUAUGAUUACGGGCCAAGAGUCUUCAUGCAGUGCUGCUUGACUAGGGAUACCGUCGAGGACUGGACAACCAUUCUUCAGGAUAUUACAACUGAAGGCAUUGGAUGGACUUGCCCCUGGCGGUAUAUAAAGUUAGUCACAGUCUCCCCAUACAUGCUCUAUGUGCCCCUGUGCAGGCUUACCAUAGUAGUCGCUUAUUAUCUCAAUCGCGUGGCUAGGCAGUAUAGUUGUCAUCAAGCUAUCGUUGAUUAUGUUGGAUUUGAGGGCGGACUGAUCACUCAAAGAUUCCUAUCUCACUUUAUUGCCACAUUUAAUUGGAAUAAUGACUCUUAUAUUGUCACAUUUAAUUGGAUUAAUAUGACCAAGUGUCAGUUUAAAAUCCUUCAAUUGUUGCCUAAUCCAUAAAACUAAGCCACAACAAAGGCCAAUAGCUACGUACUCGACUUUGCCAAUUGAAAGUGUAACAGAAUUUUAUCGAGUCCAAAUGAACGGUUUCAAUUCCUUUAGCGAAUUGGGCGAGGCAUCCAGCCGAAGCCUCACAAUAUAUAUAGGUUCACUUUGGAUAUUUUGAUCUUAAAAUCAUAAACCGAACCAAAAGCUUGUUUUAAAUUGUACAGACCAAACCAUCAAUUUUUUACGACUUCGAUUGUCAAUCUAUUUAGGUCGGUUUUUGAUCGAUUUGGAUGAUUUGAUAAAUGCCCCUAGUUGUUUUAUAAGAUUUUUGAGCAAUCUAGGUUUGUUGCAAUAAGGGUUUGUCUGCUUUCUUCUUGUUUGCAAAUGCUGGAUGAAGAAAUUCAUAGUAGUUGGAGAAAGAAGAAGUUAAAUAUGGUAAAAUGAAACUUGAGUGGAAAAACUACUAGCUAUGUCAUGGCUAUAUGUAGGCGUGGCUGGUUCAAUGAAUCACCGAUUCCGGUUCAUUGAGCCGCCGGUUCGAGAUGCUUAAAAUUUUGAACCGGAAUCGACCCUUGAACUUUCGGUUCCCGUUUCGUCAUAGUUUCGAUGAACCGACUGUUCGAAUUACCAUUCCGAUUUAGUUCCGAUAUUACACAAAUUUUUUUAAAAAAAUAAAAUUUUGAUUCCGAAUUCAUAAUAAAUAAUAAUUUUAAAAUGUUUAGAUUUUAUUAACUAAAUAAAUUAUUAUAAAAUUUUAAAAGAAAAACUUCUAUUAACUUAGAACUAUUAUUACCUUAAAUUUACAAAUUUUGCUAACUCACUAAUAUAGAAAAUUAUAAUUUUUUUAUUUUGGGCUUGAAUUAAAUUAAAAUUGAAAAAUUUUAAUUUAAUUGCCUAUGUAUCAUCUUGGGAAUUAGAGAAGAUCAAAGCCCAUGUAGUUUUUUUUUUAUUACAAUGGAAAAUAACCUUCCAAUUAUUACAAUUAAUUUUAGUCAUCGGUGCCACUAGUUCUCGUUAAUGAGCCGGAAUCAUCAUCAUCGCUUGAAUUUUAUUGGUCUUAAGUUCUCAACGUCGCUUUAGUCCAAUCGUUAAUACAUUCUUGCAUUUCCAUAUUAUUUAGCGAUAAUCUUGACCAUAUUGGAUCUAAAAUUUAUCCACCUGCACUAAAAGCUUGUUCCACUGCAACAGUAGAGAUUGGACAAGCAAGAAUAUCUUUUGCAAUUGAAGCUAAGACUGGAAAGUAAUUUGCAUGCUUUUCCACCAACCUAAAAUGUCAAAUUUUAUUAGGUCUUCAUCCGCAUCAUCACCUAAAAACUCAAAAUCUGUGCUAAUAUAUGUCUCAAUUNNNNNNNNNNNNNNNNNNNNNNNNNNNNNNNNNNNNNNNNNNNNNNNNNNNNNNNNNNNNNNNNNNNNNNNNNNNNNNNNNNNNNNNNNNNNNNNNNNNNNNNNNNNNNNNNNNNNNNNNNNNNNNNNNNNNNNNNNNNNNNNNNNNNNNNNNNNNNNNNNNNNNNNNNNNNNNNNNNNNNNNNNNNNNNNNNNNNNNNNNNNNNNNNNNNNNNNNNNNNNNNNNNNNNNNNNNNNNNNNNNNNNNNNNNNNNNNCUGCAACUAAAUUUAAAUAUGAAAUUUCAGUAUAAUAUUUUAACCAUUUAGUUUUCAUCAUGAAUAUACAUUCUUGUAAAUCAUCAUCAUUUUCAUUUUCGAUUAUGGCACUACUUAUGGCCAAACAAUGAAAUGAAAAUAAAUGGAAAGUAGAAUAAUAAACACCACUAAAAAUUCUUGUACAAUUUUUAAAAACUUGCAAAAUAUCUAAUAUUUUUUUACAAAUAGUCCAAUUGGUUGGAUAAAGUUGAAAAUGUGAUGCAUGCAAUUGCAUAAAUGAAGAAAGAAUAUCUUUAUAUUCAUAAGACUCACCAAAUGAAAAAGAUAAUUGUUCCAUACAAACCAUUUAAUAGAAUGACAAAAAUUUUUAAAUUAUUUUCUAACAUAUCCAUGUGUCGAUAAAUGAUUUAAAGCAUUUUUUAUUGGACGUAAAAAUACAUUUAAUAUUGUUAAUGCAUCUAGAUCACAUAAAUUUAAAAUAUGACAUGCACAUUUAGUGUGAAAAAUUGUCCACCAAAUUUAGGUUGACAAAGAGUUUUUAACUCAUUUAUUGAUGCCGUAUUUGCACUGACAUUAUCAAAACCAAUUGUAAAAAUUUUUUUAGUCAAACCAUAUUCUUCUAAAAUAAUAUUUAACAUGGUAAAAAUAUUAUCGGUGGUGUGAGAGUCAUAAAAAACUCUAAGUACAAUAAUUCUUUUUUGAAUUUUCUACUCAUUAUCAAUCCAAUGAGAAGUAACACCCAUAUAAGAAUGAGUUUGCCAAAUAUCACAACAAAUAGCAAUUUUACCAUUAAAAUUUGCAAAUACAUUUUUAAAAAUUUCUUUUUCUUUCAAAUAAAUAGAAAAGAUAGUCCUUUUAAGUUAUUCCUAGAUAUCUUUUUUGCUAAAGGAUUUAAUGCUUUCUUUACAAUAGUUAUUAAAUCCAAUUUUUUUCACCAAAUGAAAAAGAUAAUAGUUCCAUACAAACCAUUUUAGUCAUUUCAAUUUUAUUAGUUUCAUCACUAUAUUUAAAUAGAGGAGUGUUAGGAUCACCGUAUCUUGAUGACGAUAAUUGAGUUUGAGUUACAUCCAUUCCUAACCUCAUUUGGAUGAUGUGAUUUUAAAUGCCUAUUGAGAGUGCCAUAGCCUCCUCCAAGCUUGAAUGCAUAUUCUUCUUUGCAAUAAUAACAUCGAACCACAUUGAUUUCUCCGUUAUGUUGAACAAUUUUUGCAAAGUACUUCUUGAAAAUAUCUGAUUUUGGUGGUUUACCUAUUGAAAUAUUAGGAGAUGUUGCUUAUUCUUGUGGUGGAUGACGAGAAUAUAAUGUUCCUCAACUAGAGUUUGAUAUUGAACUUCAUUAUUAAAUUGUGGUGAAAAAUCAAUCAAUGGAUCGUUUGAAUCAAUUUCUUCCACGCUUUGAGCAACUCGCUUUCCCUUGGAGCUUUGUGAAUUGUGUGCCAUGUUUUUUAAAUGGAAUUAUGGAAAAAAAAAUGAAUAAAUGGAAUAUGAAAUUAAUGGAAUGAGUUGAAAAUUAUUAUUUUCAAAUACUAAGAAAAUUAUUAAAAAAAAUCAAAUGAAGUAAAUUUAUGAAUGGAAAAAUUGAGAUUAGAAGGAAUUUAGAAUUGGAUGUAUGAAAAUAAAAAAUAAACAAUAGAUAAUUCCAAUAUUAAGAAAAAUAAAGCAAUAGAAAAAAUAAUGAACUAUGUAAAUUUGAGAGAAUUUUGAUUGAGAAUAAGAGGAGAGUUAGGAUAUAAUUGGUUGUGAAAAAAAAAAUCAUCAACUUAUCAUAUUUAUACAUAUUUUUCAUUUAUUAAUUUUCCAAAUUGUCCCUUAUAACAGAAAAAUAAUAACUAUAUUUUUGGAUAAUUUAGUAAAUUAUAAUAAAUAAAUAAAUAAUUGAUUAAAAAUGAAUAAAAUUUAUUUACCAAAAAUAAAAAAAAUUAAAAGUCACCUCAACUAGCCGUUUGUACAUUUUUUUGUACAUAUAAUUUUUUUUUUUUACAAAUCAACUAUUCAUGUACCAUUUUUUUUUUGUAUAAAUUAAGUGUCACGCCCCGACUCUAAUCACCAGAGGAAUUGUCCGCUUUGGAUCAAGCCAAAUCCCCCAUACAAGAUUGUCAAGACCCGCACGGUUUUGUCCCGUAGGUGAAAUGGAAAACUUCCCAGGAGGUCACCCAUCCUAGAAUUUCCGUUAAGCGAGCACGCUUAACCUUGGAGUUCUUCCAACUCUCCAGCCAUUCCACCAAAAAGCGCCUCUAAUGAUUAGUUUCCCCCUUUUCGAUAUAUGAUUCGAUUCAUUCAUGUGUCCCGCAUUUCACUACCCUAGCUAGCCUGCCAUCCUAGAAGCUAGCCAGGAGCUUCGCUUUACCCGCCCUCUUAGGAUUGCUUUGCCGGGUCGGUGCCGGGUCGGGAUGUCACAUUAAGUCAAAUCAUGUGUACUUUUUUCACCAUUUUUUAUAAAUUAUGUACCAUUGUGUACUUCUGUUCACUAUAAAUUAAAUCAACUACAAUCAAAUCAAGUGAUAUAAAUUUUUUUAUAAAAAUUUUAAGCUACUAAUAAUUUUGUUUGUGCAUCCGGUUCGAACCGGACCAGAACCGCUGGUUCCAACUGGUUCAGGUUCAUUUUUAAACAUUCACAUGAAUCGUAACCGGCCCUUGAAUUGCCGAUUCCAGUUCAAAAUUUUGAAUCGCCGGUUCAAGUUCUUCUACAGUCCGGUUCGAUUUCGUUUCAGUUCCAAUUAGAAUCGAACUGAUGGCCAUGCCUAGCUAUAUGUUAUACACAUUUUUCUAUUGCUACAUAUGCAUACAAUAUCAUUAAAAUUUGUAACUUUAAAAGCACAAUAAACUAAUAACAUACUUAGUGGUGCAUUUAGCUGAAAUAUAAUAAAUUUGAGGAAUAAAUUUAUACUUUUGAUUAAAAUAUAUAUCACAAAAAUUAGUACGUCUUGCAUUCGAGGAAUAAAUUUAUACUUUUGAUUAAAAUAUAUAUCACAAAAUUAGUACAUCUUGCAUUCGAAUAAAAAUGAAAUUUAAUAAAAAAUGAAAUUUAAUUAUUUAGUACGUCUUGCAUUUGAAUUUGUUUGCAAAAUUUUCAUAAAAAGUGAAAAUAAUUGAGUAAAAGGAUUAAGGAAUUGCUCCGUAGCCACUUGAAUUGAGUAAAAGUAAGGAAAGUAUUAGGCGGGAACCUCCCACGGUAGAAGAAUAAACCAGUUGCAUUGCAACAUCUAACAAACAAGGAAAAUAAAUAAAUUUUGUGUUUGACUUUUAAAGUAAAUUUAAUACUAAUAAAUAUAAUAAUUUUUUCAAAUAAUAAUAAGGUGGAUUAAUUAAUUAAAGGAUUGACAAUGAGAAGAAGAGAGGAGAGCACGAAUAUCAAUCGUGUUUCCCGGAACCGAAGGUAACAGCGCAAACACAAACACUCGUCUCUUCCUCCUCUCUUAGCAAUCACAAAAACCAAAAAUUCCGAUCAGAUCUCACCGACAUCUGAUCGAAUUUGCGUGGUUUUUAUUAUGAUAAGCAGAUGGAAAGGGAGAGGUUGAAUGGUGAUGGCAAUUGGAAUUACAACUACACUAAAUUUGGGAAUGAUUAUUAUUAUUAUUACGGUAAGCAAGAGGAUGGAGAGGAGGAGGUGGUGGCGGAGGUAGAUCCACUCGGUCUAAACUGUAAUGGUGUUGGCGGUGGUAAACACAAGAAUCAUUUUCUAAUGACAACCGCCAAUUCUUACCCCUUUCCAUCGUCAUCAACGAUUAUGACAUCGCCAAUGUCAACACCUUCUCCGCCACUCCCUGGCGGUGUUGGCUUCAUUGAACAUCCCGUUUCUAAGUUGGAUACUCUUGCCGGCGUCGCCAUCAAGUACGGUGUUGAGGUAAAUUUCUUUUAUUCGUUCAUAUACAUAUUGGAUUCUGAAUGUUACUUAAUUUAUUUGGGUAAUUGCAUUGCCGAAUGCGAUGUCAAAAUAUCGAUAAUUGUUAACCUUGUACUGUAGCGGCAUAGAUUUUACGAUUAACAUUCUAAGAAUAAACAUGAAUGUACUAGUGAGAAUGGAAAAUUGCGACUAUUUUCUUAAAAAUUUCAUGAAAACUCGCUAUUGUAGUGGUUUACAUAUUCGUAAUUGGAAGAUCUUUGGCAAUAUAGUUUCUCCUUUUAUGUUCCAUGCAUUCAAAAUUAGGUUGCCUGAGGAGAUUCACUCUGGAUACACCAGGGUCAUCUAUUUGCUGCAUUGUCCAAUUGUUUUCCUAUAUUGGGUAUUGAUUUUCUAGGCAUUUGGAUGUAUGAACUGGUGUUCUCGUGUCACUUUGAAAUUCCAAAUGCUACUGGGUGCUUUCUUUCUUUCACUUUCUGUGCUUUUUAAAUAGAUAGUAAGCUGGUUAAUGUUCUUUUCUGGUUUCGUGGGUGACAUUAGGUGGCUGACAUUAAAAAAAUGAAUGGUCUGGUCACGGAUCUACAAAUGUUUGCUCUCAAGUCACUCCAGAUUCCAUUACCUGGAAAGCAUCCACCCUCCCCUGGCUUAUCAAAUGGUUCUAAUACCUUUAGGUACUUAUUUAAUCCUUUUAGACUAAUGUUUCUGUUCCAAAUUUCUUUGUUCUGAUGUAAGAGGAAAUAUACGAAUUAGCUUAUGGUGAUGAGUGCAAAAAAUUGGUGCUUGAUACUGGCUGGCGAUGGCUAAGGAUGAUUGAUGGUGGCUAGUGGACAUUAUGUUCUUGUUUCUCUUAAAUGCUGUUCCCUUUUAAUGUAUUUGAAAUGUUUUUUGUCAUUUAAAGGAAUUCAUUUUCCUUAGAAGAUGUGUGACUCUUGCGUUUUUUAUGACCAAGUUCCCUAAACAAGCCAAAUCAAAAAUGUUUUGUAAGGACAUAUUUUUUUCACAAAAUAAAAUUGAGCAUUAAGAAGAAUUCUUUUCUUCCCUAGCACCACAAAUACUAUCCAUCAUCCCCGAUGCUACGACCAUAUAUUUUUGCCACAACCACCUCUGUCUCCUUCUAGAACAACUUAAUUUUAUUAAUUUCUGAAACAUUAUUCAACUCUUGAAUUCUCAGCAUCAAGAUUAUUCAGCUGGUAAAUUGUAUACACUCAAUUUGUACAUAAUCAAUUAUAGACUUCACUUGAUAUGAAAAUAAUGUAGGAAUAUGAAAAUAAUGAAGGAUAUACUCAUUAUGAAACUACUUCCCAAAGUCUUUGUAUGGAUAGGACAGCUACUGGAUACCUUCUUUGUAUCAUUUGUUUGGCCAUGCAUGAUAUCAGAGGUGAUAUAAUCCUGAGAAACUAGUGAGCACGGAUAAUAAUAUACAUUUCAGGUGGUGCGACUGAUUUGAGUGUCUGGUGAUACUUUUAUUCUGUGGUUUUUUUGUGAUGAUAAUUAGUUCAUUUGGAGUGUUUUUGGGGUGCCGCGGCAAUGAUAGUAUUUAAAUACAAGUUAAAAUACAGUUGCCUCCAGGCCUAUUGCAAAUUGUAUUUUGUAAUAUCUGCGUUGGGUUGUGCGAUCACAACAUUGGCAGGAUGGAAAAUUUAGUAAAAUAUCAUUACCUUGUCACUUUAGCAAGUAAUUACACCUGCCAAUAUCUGCUGAGAAGUAUGUGAUGACUGCUUACCAACCUACUUAAACUUUACCUUCUUUAUUUCGCUCUAGCUGUUGCACUCCAGAUUUCGUUUCCUCCAAUAUCAGAAGCUCUGUUUUUUGUUUUCAAAUGAACCUGUCUUGCACCUAAAAGUUUCCCCUUGCUCUUUCUCAAGCAUAUCAAGAUGAGUACCCUUUUCAUUGUGCUACACUGUAGUAGCUUUGCCUAUGAUGUGCAAGGUGCUAUUUAUUGUAGCUUCUUUUCUUGUAGUAUCUCAUGCAUUUUUUAUUAUUAAAAUGUACUUCCAGCGGAUAAGCCUGUGUGUUUGCUGCAAUAUUAUACAUGUUUCUUUGUUACUUUAUGUCUAGUUUCUACUGUUGAAAAAUAAGCAUCUCUACAUGACACUAUUAUUCAAUUUUUUAGUGUUGUACUUUUAUCUCUCAAGAUGAUCCACUUUGUUCCUUGCAUAAAUUGCCUUUUGUUAGAUCUCAGCUCCAAAGUGACCAUAUAUAUUAUAUGCUGGAACAUUUUUUGCAGACAUAAUACCUCUCAACAGACCCAUUCUGAUCUCUUUGAUUCAUUUCCAUCCUUGAGACUUAAUUCUUCACAACGGAAGGUUUCUUCAGCCAUGAGCUCUUUACAAGGUUAUUAUGGGCUCAAGUCAGAAACUGAAACAGGGCAUUCCCAAGGUUUUGAAAUGGCAGACUAUAGACAAGGAGAUUCUCACUAUCUUGAACCAUCACCAGCUUCAAAUACACCAUUGAGCCACCAUCGGAAAUCCAGGAGCUUAGCUAAUGGUUUUAGAGAUGAAAAUAAUGGAGUGGCUGACGACCAGCUUAUUGACGAAGAAAGAGAAAGUGACACAGGGAAAUGGAUAGAGAAAUUGCUUAGAAGGCGUCAGAAGUCUGAUGCUGACUUUUCUUCCAGAUAUCCUGAAAUGCUUAUGAGAGAGGAUACUGUUGCAGGUGUAAGUUCAGCUAUCACAGGAAAGAGCUUAGCUUUGAGAUCCAAAGCAGCAAGUCGAACUGCGUCGCCACUUGAUGCUGAAGCAGGUGGUUUGACCCCCGUAGGCAUGGGCGAUUCUCUUCUGAGUGGUGGAUUUUACAGUGUAAGGAAGUCAUCAAGCACAUCAAGCUUAAAUGAUCAGGACAACGGCAAUUCUUCCAUCUGGCCAACGUCCAAGUGGAGUUUGACGUCAGAUUUACAAGCCCUUUCAGCUGCAGCCAUAGCAAGACCAAUCUUUGAUGGAUUGCCAAAACCAAUAACUGGUCGAAGAAACAAAACGGCACUUGAUUAGCUAUCUCUUAUUAUAAGAAAUCCAUUUUUGAUUCUGAUCUGCAUUUUGGCAGGCACUGCAUAGCUAGUACACAAAAGGGUAAAUAGAAAAUAGACUGGAAAAAUGUCAAAAGUAACCACCCUAGUUUAAUACGAGAGAUGUUCCUAUAUACAGGAAAGUAAAAAAGAAAAUUUAUUCAAUUUGUAUAAUUUAUUCUGGACUGUCCAAGUCCAUAUUGGAAACGUGGAGGCAAUAAUGCAGAUUAAAUAAUGCAUUGAUUGAUCUUAUAUUCCCGUCUUUGACAUGUUAGCUGUACUGACCAAGUCAAUGUAGAUUCCAUUUUGUUUGUCCGAUACAACAGUCUCGUUUUCUUUCAGAAACGGCUCAAUGUCAAAGGUCGUUUUUGCACAAAAUAUAUUUAAAAGAGUAAUGCGGCUAGACUUGAUGCAUUUUCAAAUCUAUAUAAGACUUUAGGGUAAACAAUAAAAAUCAACUGGGUUUGAAUUUUUUAAUUUUGGAUCAUUUAUUACGUUUGAUAGUUCUUAGAUUGAUGAAAUCUGAAAUUCUCAUAUUUCAUAAAUCCAUGAAAUUUCACAUUCUUUUAUAGUUAAAAAACAAAUUAAUUAAUUUGAAGGGUAUUUUAAAAUAAAAUUAAAUGUUUUAAAUUCUAUAAUAAAAAAAAAAUACACAUGUAGAAUAUAAGGUGAAAUUUCUCAAUCGAGACCAUAAUGAAGUCUGCCAAUUGUAUGAAUUGUAGCUUAUUUUCAUUGGACCAAACAAAAAAAGUAGACAAAUCUAGAACCUCUAGCCAGAUUUCAUCAAAAUUAAUAAAAAUUACAAAUUAAUAAAGGUACACAAACAAUUAAUUUAAACAAUAAAAUUAAUUUACAAAUCAAACAAGAUUAAUUUCAUGUUGAUCUGUACCGAAAAUUUGUCAUAUUACGAAUAUAAUCAUCAGAUCCAUAGGAUUGCAAAUUCUACCAAAAUUGUUAAAAUUUUGAUGCAAGAAUAAACCAAUUCUAUAAAAUUAACAAAAAAAAUUCUAAAUAAAUAUUCAUUAAUAUCAAAUAUGAAAUAUAUGUUCCACCAAAAAAAAAAAAAAAUGAGACAUGAAUUUAAAAAUAAAUUUUAUAAAAUUCGAAGAAAUUAUCGAAACUGCUUUAUAUUUGGGUAAAUAUUAAAUGCCAAAGAAUUGGAUUUAUAAGAGUAAAAUGUCACAACAUGAAAUUCUAAUUUUGUGAAAUUUAUUUAUUCCCCACAAGAUCCAAUUAAUGCAACCCAUCAAAAAGCAAAAUUUUACAAUUCAUUACGACUAAUGACAGUCUAAUAUUCUUAGCUGAGAUAUUCGUAUCUGCUGUAAUCUCAAAUGAAAAUAUAGUCUGCACAAAGGAACUUUGUGUAGCAAUUGUACAACUAGAAAUGUUGACAGUAACAAAAGUAAAUCAUAUACUCGAUCUGUAAAAUAGUACAGAGAAUGCAAGACUAUAAAUAUAUGCAUAAAGAUUUAAUAAUUUGUAAAUUAAUUGCUAUUUCUUAGGGGGAAAAAAAGAGAUGCAUCACUUUGUGGAACCAACUUUACUUUCUUUGAGAUAUUCUUCAAGAAAAGCUAAUUUCUAUCUAAUAAAUACAAAAUUAUGAGCAACGUCUGGUUUGGGAAUCCAUGACAAAUAUUUACCUCAACAUUUUGCAGAAGUUGUCUGCCAAAUAGAAAUCUUAUUCUUCAAUGUUUACCGUGAUGAAACACCAUGAACUAUGACAAUUUUUCGCUAGAUGUUUUGCCCAAACCUGUGCCAACAAAGCUUGCAGUUAUCAUCUAAUUCCGUGGAAAUAAUAAAAUAAAUUAUGCAACAUCAUAUAAAUUCACAGCUUUUAUGUUUAAGCAUCACUAGCAACACCCCACCGCCUCCACAUGCAUUAGUGAGGAACCCAGCUAUGGAUGGUUCAAAAUGAAAUAAUUAGAGAAAGGAGGGAAGGAGGCUUGUAAUGUCAAGUUGCACUUCAAUUUUGAGGCAAAGUCUCGUUCAAUGAGGCCCCUCCAAAAUCACAGAAUAACAUCUAAAAAUUAAUUGUUUCCACGAAAAUCACUAAUUUUACAAGGAGAAAACGGGUGUUGGACAAAUGGGAAGGGCUAAGUUCUGAAAAUAAAACAAAACGAAAAUGCUAGAAAUGUUUCUACAAUUCAUUAUGAAUAAAGAAUAUUCAAAUUACACCCAAAUUAAUAGACUUCAAAAGCAUCAAGCAAACAGCCACCCUGGAGUACUUUCAAGUCAACUGAAAUAUUUCAAGAAAGUCAAUUAAACUGUUGCCUUUAACCUAUCAGAGUCUCUCCAUAACAGUCCUUAUCCAGGCUAUAAAUUCAGCUCUGAAGAUGGACACUUGUCAGGAUUUCAAUUUUGAAUGUAAAAGACAACUUCCUCAUCAAUUAAUACCAGCAAGAGGAAAUGCACACAGAACAACCUACUACAGCAGUGUACAUGGAGCCUACAAGAAGUCUUACGAGGAGCCACGACCUGAUACAUCUACUAAGAUUUUAGCUGUACAAUAUCAGCAACAUCUUGCAUAGUGUGACAUUCUUGUGUUAUUUAAACAUUCCAACUCUUCUCGCACUUCAUACAGUUAUUUAACCAAUUGCAGCGCUCAUACUCUCUUCUCUUUCCGACUAGAUAUGAAGGAUCAAAAAGUAUUCUAUUUAGGAACAAUUCAGCUAAUGUUCAGAUUUGACAGACAAGAUAAAGUAAAAGCUCCUCAGCUAUAACGGAAUUAAUUGCACAUCUGAGUUUAAUAUGUAAAUUGUGUGCAGUUCUCAGCAUAUAAAUAAAAUUAGCAAGUCAUCCCACUCUCUUAUGUUGCACAGUAAAAAGCAAAUGACAGCUUUCCUUUCACCAUCUAUAAAAUUUCUUCAAUAGUCUUCCUCUCCUCCAUAUCAACCAGUAAAUAAUUGAAGGGGAAACUCCAAACUCUAGAUAUUCCAAUUUAUAAUACAAAGAAUUCAUGAAAAGGAAAGGGCGAAAUCAAAGGAGUCCAAAUUCAGAUAUGAAGGGGUAGGGGACCUUGAACAGCUGCAAAUGAGCAGUGAUGAAUAAGCAUCAAUUGGCAAUCAAACUAUGUGUUUUCUCAUAUUAAGGAACAAUCAUAAGCUGCUCAUUUUUUUUUAUAAAGUUAUUAGCAGAGACAUCAACACCUUAAUUCAGUCAAAUACAAAAUAAAAUCACUGGCUGGAAAGGAGCUGCCGCAAGACAAAAUAUUAAAAUGUCCAAAUUCCCCAAAGCAAGAACAUGUCAUCUUAUAAUAUCAGGGGCAAAAGACUUGUGCUCUUUACAAUUUCAGGUGCAGAAGGCAUUCCUUCAGCAUUGCAAAGCGAGACAGAAUAACAUGCAAAAAUAAUAAAAGGUUCCAGGUCCAGGCAUACUAGUUUUUCAUGCUUCCAAUAAUCAGGGUUCUAUUCCUGCUAUUAACCAAGGUGAUGGGUAUGUGCUUCUAGCCAUGAUAGCAUAGUUAUACCAUCUCCUCUCUUCUUAUCUUUCCUCCCACUCUAAAAACAAAAUAGUAAUUAAUUAAUUACAGAAUUUUUUUAUUAUUUAUUUUUAUCUUUUUAUCUUUUUACGAAGAGGAUGUUGCAAGUACAGAUGUUUACAGCCAAGCUGCUCGAGUCAAUUUCAUUGAGGUCGCACAUGGCAUGGAGCGUUGGAAGUUUUUUGAAACUGCAAUUCAACCAACUGUGAUGAGUGGCAGUGAGAGUUGGGCAGCAAAGGAAACACGCACAAAAAAAAAAAAAAAAAGAUGUCCCAGUAUUGAUGUGUAACCAUAUAGGAUAGUUUGAAAUAAAUUUAUUUUUUGAGAAGGUAGGAGCAGCAACCUAUCAAGAGAAAAAAAUGAGAGAAAAAUGGUUAAGAUGGUUUGGUCAUAUAUGUCAUAGACUGCCGGAAACCCCCAUAAGGAAAACAGAGCACCUUAAAGUUGACAAGACUAGAAAAAAGUGAAGAACACCCAAGAUGACAUGAGAAGUUAUAAAAUAGUGCAAAACCAAGCGAAAUGGAAAAAAUGGAUCCAUGUAGCCACCCAAAACUACUUGGGUUUUAGUUGUCAUUUUGUUGUUGCAAGGUUGAGCACCUGAGAAUCUUUAAUUUCAUUUAGAACAAGAGUAUUAACUGCUUACAUAUAGCUAUUCCUUAUAAGAAGGAAUGGGAAGGUAGGUAGACAGAAAACAUUAGGAUUAAAGCCUUCGUGAUAUAAAGUUUUCUAUUUUAGUAGCUUUUAUAAUAUUUCAUAAAAGAUUCUGUAUAUAAAUAUGAUGAAUGCAAACAGAAAAAAGAUUUGAAGGAAGAAACAGUUUUUGGAACAUUUAAAAGAAACUUUUUUCCAAAAAAUAAACAUAAACCUGGAAAUUUUUUGAAGCAAAAAGCUAAGGAUUUACUCCACGAUCAACCAGGAAAACACUGGAAAGAGUCAAAUAACAUGUAGCUAACAUUCAAAAACAGAACAUGCUUGUGACAACUAAUUCCCAUCAAUCAGAGGCAAAUUCCUGUCUACAAAAGCAAACAGAAAAAAUAAGCGAGGUGACUUGGAUGAGUUCUUUCCCAACAAAGGUACUGGAGUUAGUGAAGCACUAAGGCUGUAAAGUAGUAUCAUGCAUCUCCAGUCAACUUCAAAAGAAGAACACCUUUUUACCCCCAUUUUUUGAGAAACAAAAUAAUAUUUAUUUUAUUGUAAUACAUAAUGAGCCGUUUCCAGGAAGAACCAAAAGGCAAUUCAACUCGCCGUACUAAGUUGUAAAUAGGAGAAAAAAUAGAAUUAUUAGGGUAUCACAUUUUUGGGUUGAAAUUGACACAACACAGUUAAUAGCGUAAAAAAUCCAAACAUGUAGCUAACAAGACCUGUCCAUUUAGCCUGUUACGUCAUGAAUAGCCACUUGGCACAAUUAGCUAAGUUGUUUUUCAGAAGAAAAAAAAAAAAUUAUUAAGAAAGAAAGAGAUCAAUGUACUAUAGGAUAAGAAAGUCUCCUAUAAUCCAAAAAAUAAUUAACAAGAAGAUAAAUAAAACACAAGCUACAAAAGUAAUGCCUUCCAAUCGAGUAUAACAAAAUUCAAAGGGACUCUUUAAAAGCUCUGGAAACACGAGUCAAUAUAAAACCCAAAAGCAACACAUUCACAGCAAACGAAUGGACAUGCUCUGGUGAUUCCUAUCCAUCAAAGACUGUGCACAAUUUAAAAGAACACUGACACCUUCCCUGAACAAAACCUUUUCCACUUUAAACCAACAGAGGUCCCUAAUGACUCUAGGCACGCCAGAUGCAUCUCAAAAAUGCAAAAGAGCAAUUCUAGAUAGCCCAAACCACUUCACGAUGCAAAAUAGCUGAGAAUGAUUCUUGCCAGACUCAUAACACAUAACACAACAAUCAGGAGAUAAAGCCUUUCUAAGACUCUUUUUUUUUCUUCCAACAAAAGGCCAUAGUAAUCACCUUUUGGAGAAUGGCAGACCAAACAGAAACUUUUAUUUUCAGUAGCAUUAGCUUUCCAAAGUUGAUUGAAACAUUGAAAUGAAUAAUCUAGAAAAGAGCAAGGUGGAAUCAUAAGGAUAUAAAUGAACAUAUUCUAGUGGAAUUCACAUACCAAAUAUUUCUAUCUUCACUAAAAGACGAUAGUUUUCUUUCAAAACUGAUGUGAACAAUUGAUAAAUAAAUAAAAACAACUAAUUUUCUUUGCAGAUGAAAAUUUUAAGAAAAGUUUUGGCCUUCUUUUUCAUAGCGACAACUAGCAUGAUGACAUGAUUCUUACAUGUCAAAAUCAUGUUGGCAUGGUCAUCAAAGAAAAACAAUUAAGGAAAUGCCAAACCUCUAAUUUUGUUGUUUACUUGUUCAUGCACAGAGGAGGAUAACUUUCCUCCCAAGAAACACACAACGGGUGGCAAAAUGUAGAAAACCUGUCAAAUACAAGAGGAAUGGUAAAACAAUUGCCUAAUGCCAAAGAAAGACCUCUAAAAAUCAAAAUACAGAACGCUGAAAGGAAUCAGAGAUCCUAUCCUUCCCAAAGGAGAUGCAACAAUAAAAAAAGUAUCCAUAAAAUGUGUUGCAUUCUAUUCCAACUAUUAAUGCCACACUUCAAAAGAACUUAUCCCCAUCUCGUCCUCUCAAAACCUCCAGACUGAAUGACAGCAAAAUUUUUAACUUUGAUGGAAAAACAAGAUAGUCACAAAAUAUUUUUUUUAAAAGAAAAGUAAGAAUUAUUCUGUGCAAAAAAAUUUGCUUCUCUUACUUCAGACAUUGACUCUUGUCAAAAAUUUUUGAAAUAAGGGUAAGAACCUUGGGAAUUUAACUCAUUUAUGAAGGAUUACCAGAAAUUUAGAAGUUACGUCCCAACGUCAAUGACAUAAUGAGCAUUUAUGAGUGGGCUCCCUCACUCAGUUUCUUCAUCAUUCCAACAUUCUAACUAGCAGAUCUAAUUCACCUUUCGUAGGUCAUCAUUUCCACUUAAAACCAGAAGCAAGGCCAACUCUAGCACUUCAUAUGUGUUUAGCUGUUGCACAUUAACAAGACAUUUUAGUUGAAAGAAGAGUUUGAUUUUGGAAGUUAUCCUUUUUGUAAAACUUGUGAGAAGUACUUUUAGGACAUCUAAAAUUGAUGAACAAGGUUGCACUGUUGGACACAAUUCAGUAUCUCCUAAUAGAUAUAGUUCACUUGUGAAUAUAUUAAAAUAAAAAAAGAAAAGGAAGGAAGAUGGUUUUCAUAAAAACAAAGUUAUUUUAGAAAACUAAAAGCAUGUCAAAAACUAGUAUUGAAGAUCUUAACGAGAAAAAGGUAGCUUCAAUUUCAUAGAUGCACUAUGUAUGAUCCUAGUUAUGGCUCCAAUGCACAUUGGUUCCAAACUUCAUAAUCCUAAUCUUCCUUCAUCAAUUACAGAGUGAGAUAGAACUAUAAUUUCUGAACAGAAAAGGAGUUUAUCUCCUUCAUUGGCCCAAAACUAAAUUAGCAUGAACAUAAGAUUUCUAUUUAAACAAACAGCUUAUCAUAUUAGUAUGUCCUGGACACAUGCACCCAUAGAAAGACAAGGUAUACUGUUGGCCCAAUGCAUUGCAACAAUCCAUGAACCAAAAUGUACCAGCCAGGAAGUCACCACAAGUAUAUAUCAUCUCUGUAUGCGUCCAUACAAAGCCAAAUAUAUCAAUUAUAAUACAUCGGCAAAAAUAUCAGUCCAUUAUGUAUGAGCAAAAAACAUGAUAAAUACUCUAUGAAUUGACAGUUAAAACUACAGCUUUUACCAAAAUAAUCUAUAUAUUAGAAAAGGUAUAAAAAAUAAAUAAAUAAUUCCCUCAUGUUUAGCUUUUGAUGCCUUAGGUAUAAGAAUCCUUUGAAUCAUUAUAGGGCUUUGAAGUUUUAGUUAUUGUGGCUUUAUUACCAUUUUGACAAUCAUUUCUGAACUUACAUGAAACCAAUUAAAUUAACCAAUAUCAAUUAAAUAGUUUCCAACAGCCAAAUUUAAUUUGCCUGAUUCAAUGUUUAUAGCAUUUGUAAAAUUCAAGGAAUAAAAGAGCAGCAUCUUAUUCUUUUCGCGAGAACUUCCAGAUCAGAAAAGCAUUUGUACAUUACAAUUUCUUUCUCCAUGAUAAAAACUAAAAAUAAUGUAGCAUCUGGAUUACUGUGUAGCUAAUAAUGUUCAAGCAUAAUUCUCACUUGAUGAGACACGUACAAGCAUAGUUGUUGCAGUGACUACAAACUAAAACUUAUAUCUAAAAUGGUGCAACAAGAUUUCUUCCUCUAGUACAAAAACACUAGGCCAUAGGGUAUCUUACCCCUAAAGUGAUAUUUUUACAGGCCAACAUAAAUGCAUAAAGCUUUUUGUCAAUCAUUUUCUCGAUACAACUUGGAAAAAAAAAAUUAGAGUUCAAAUUUGAUUUCAGAGUAUAUAAUUUAUUUUAUAUUGGAUUCAUUGUCAAAACCAAGCCAUUCUACAAGGGAUUAAAUGGUAAAAUAGGUGACAAUGUAAGAUUUCAUUGAAUUCAUUCUUGUAGGACUAUGAUCAGUUCACAAAAACCAAAUCAUUAAUGCAACCUUCAAAGAACAUAAUUCAAGGAACGGAUUUCCCUUAACUCCAUAACUAGUUAUUUUGGUAAUCCAAUACUUAAUAUUGCAAUGGGUUUGCUCCAACAUAAAGAAAACGUUAAAUCAAAGACAAAGUAAACCUGGGAAGGAGUAAUAAUGCAAUUUUUCAGGUAAUAAAACACAAUGUAGUUUGAGUUAUGGGUCACAAGACCAACAUUAAAAUACCUAUGAUAAUAAUAGACAUAAAAUUUCCCACUUCUGUACUUUUGCUGUUCAAUUUCAUAAAAGCAGCAUAGAAAAUUAAGUGGUCCAUACUCCACAAGCAUAAUGGAGCAGUGCCAGAUGAUGAAUGAAGAUCUAGCCUCAUCUUUAAACCAUGAACUGCAUAUAAGGCAUUCCCACCACCCAAUGAAGUUUCUUUUGCCAACUUCUAAAGAUGAUCAGAGAAAGUUCCUCUACACUGCAUCAGGGAAACUGGAAUGCAACAUUGAGGAUACAAUAUAAAGGUAUCCUUCUGCUUAAGUUAAUUGCUCUAAAAUAAAUGCAAACAUGCAUACACAACUAACUAUACAAAUUCAAAAAAAAUAAUAAUAAAAUAAAAUAAAAUUUCAUUAGCAACUCGCACUUGAUGGAAUUUGAACAAUAAUAAACUGACAAGACACAAUUAUAUUUGUACCUCUGCAAGGAAAAGGGGCAACACUAUAUCAAAGAAAACAAGACAUAGAUGAUAAUGCUUUGAAAGGAUUCACAGAAUUCACUUCCCAAAAUCUCUUAUUUGGAACAAAAUUUUUUCUCAUACAAUAAUAUAACUCAUAAGUUUAAUUACAGGAGUUGAGAAACAGAUGUACUAACCAAGUCAGAAACAUGAGCCUACAGUCCGAAGAACAUGUUCCCAGGAUAUUUGUCAGGAAAUAUUACAAUAUACACAGUCCUGCCAAGUGCCUCCAUAAGGUCUAAACGCAACCUUCAAAUGCCAGUUAUAUCUUGUUCAGAAGUGGACUCGCCUUUUAAGGUGUAUUAUAAUGUGAAUUCAUAAAUUGUGUUCCCACCCAUUGCACUGACCAAAACAAUAUAUAGAUUGAUCACGAAUUAGACUGAUGUUAAAUAUACUCUCACAGAUGGACACUAGUGCUUAGUUCUACAAAACAGUAAAGUAUGGACAUCCUUAGUGUUAGACUAUAUGGGGGAGGGAAGACUUGAACUUCAGUUUGUCAAACCAUCCAAUAUUUAGCUUUCUUCGACUAUGCCAUAGCAAAGAAUUUGCACUAAAUUGUCAAAUAUAGAACAUUUGAACAUCAGUUAAAUGACCUUUUAAUUCAUUUAAAUUUUUCCACAGCAAAGAUUUAGCCAAAUACCAUCAGUUAAAUUAUCAAAAUUAGCUGCUAUGCUGAUGCCAUAGCAAAGAAAAGUUAGCCAAGUACCCUGUCAUAUAAUACAUUGACAUUCAAGGAAGAAAGGGUAAUUCCAUGCCAGUUAGUGCAAAGAAGUUCAAUUAACCGCAAUCACUUUCGUAUCAUUUUUUGCUGAUGUUGUACAAAUUGUACUCGCAAGCACACAUCAUGUCAAUUACAUUACACCAUACUAAAGAAUGAUAGCAGUAGCACAUUAACAUUUUGGUUCUUUGAAACAAAAUUUUAUUAUCACUAAACUAUAAGGUACAUCCCUAAAUUUUUCCAGCAUUUAAAAGCCCAAUAUUUACAAGGUCAAUUACAUCAUGGAAGCCACCAGCUUCAAGUCACAUUCUUAAAAGGAAUAUGGAACCUUCUUUAUCUUGAAAGGAUCAACAACUUUCUCAGAAGUUCAGUUGGCUCAAAAAAAAAAAAAUGACAAGGAAAGAAAAACAUACUUAAGCUUUAUUUUUAAGCUGGUCUCCAGCAAUUAAGAGCGGACAUAUCCGGUCUACAUGGCAAUACAUGUGAAACACCAUGACCUGAAGAGAGAAAAAAAAGGUUAGAUUGGAGUAUAACUAUCAAAUAGUAUAUCAUAACAUUUUAGCAAAAAAUGAGGCAGAUUUUUAUUGAGCUGGGUCACCUGGGAUUGGGGCUCCAGCUGGUAAAUUGUUAGCAGAGGAAAGCUGAAAACCCAUAUUAUUAACAGGUGGUCUUUCAAUGGGUGGCCGAAAAUAACCUGCCAGGGAAAUUUUGAAUAGCAUUAUUCUACCAAAUAGCAUUAUUCUACCAAAUAACAAACAUGGCAACAAAAGAGAAAAAAAAAAAAAAAAAAAAAAAAAAAAAAAAAAAAAAAAAAAAAAAAAAAAAAAAGAGAAGAAAUAAUAUAAUAUAAAGAGAAAAACUUCCAACUCCUGGACGAAGUAUUGAUGCAAACAAUUAAAGAAACCAUAUGGAAUUACAUAAAUUAUUUUGACAGGUUAAAGUUCAAAGUAGAGUAAUUGGAGUAUUUUUUUUUUUUUAAUGAUAUGGAGAAAUUUAUUAAUUUUACAAAUUUUCAAGAAUCAUAUUAACCAAGAAAUGCAGUUUAAUCAGUCAAGGCAGGAUCCAGGAAUGUAACUUUGCAUGUAGCUGUUAAAAGGACAAGUGCAUACCGUCCUGCCCAAAAGAAGGACCAGCAUGUGAAGGAUUUCUUCCGCUCAUCCAUGCACCAUGCUGAUUAUCCGUGUUAAAUUCAGUUGAGGGCAUCCUCCAAGCUUCAUCUCCAACAAAUUGCCUUCGUCCAUCAGGAUGAGACGGCAAUGGAUAUGCACAGGGAUAUGAAUGCUGAGGAUGCUGCUGAAUUGCAGGCUUUGCAAAAGAAAAAUGACCAGAGGCUUGCGGUAAGUUCGGGUGCAAAGGUCUCUGUGCAAAAGGUGCACUACCUGGCUGAAAAUGUGGGUUUUGUUGAGAAGCUUGGGGUUUUAAAUAUAGGUCCUUAUGUCCAUAUUCCAAUUGCCUAGAUGUAUUAUAUCCUGAAGGUUGAGAACUGCAAACUGCUGUAGGUGUGAAGCAAGGUGACUGCUGUGGAUACAACUCACUCUUUACAACAACAUCCAUAUGAUUCCCAUGAGUAUUUCCAGACAUUUGUGUGAGUUGGUUACCCUGCAAACACAGGAGAGAGGUCAUAAUAAACACAUGCAACAUACUGGAUUUUUUAGAAGGUGAAAAGAGGGGAAGGGGGCCCAAAAAAAAGAGAAGAAAAACAAAAGAAAGAAAGAGUAAAAAGUCAUACACUGGCUGUGCUGCAAUAUUCAUGAGGAACAGCUGGUGGGUAUGCCAACUGUGGUGAUGACUGUAGUGUUGACACAGAUGGUAGAAUUGGUUGAGAUACCAAGGAAGGUUGGGUUGGCACUGACCGUUGAAGUACCAGUGACUGAAGAGGGCCUGCAGGGGGUACAGGAGGAGGAGGUGGCUGUGAUGGAAGAGGUGGUGGUGGCGGCGGUGGUGAUGGAGAUGUUGGCGGUGGAGGUGGGGGUGGAGGUGGGGGUGACGAAGGUAAAGGUGGUGGUGGAGGAGGAGAAUCAGGAGGCAGUGGAGGAGAACCCUCUGGUAGUGGAGGCAGCACAACAGAAUUGUCAAUUACAGGUUCCAGUACUCCAUCUGAGCAAUGUUGCUGUGCAUCCACUUCAAAAGGACCACUCGUAAAAGGCCUUUCAUCCUUCUGGUUUCCAGAGACAUCUUCCAUUUCAAGCUCACCAUCCACAUCCUCUAAAAUGCAAUGCCGCCUGUCAUUUGGAGUAAUAACACAUGUUUCUGACUCUCCUAAAGUACGAGUGGCCUCUGCUAGUGAUGAUAUGUCACCAUCUUCCUUCGGUGAACUGCUUGGAAGGUCCUCCUCCUCAUCUUCAUCUUCAAAUACAUUAGAAGAUAAAAAGCCAGGCAGCUGAAAUGUAGCAUUGCUGGUACAAGAGCCAAGAAAAUAACAGAUAGAUCAAUGAAUCAGAGAUGUAACAUUAAUAGCACAAAAAGAAUUGAGGGAAAAAGUUGCAAAAUGCAUCAAGAAAUUUCUGAUAUUGUCUAAAACAAAGCUCAGCACAGACAAACAAAAUGCAUAGGUGACGAGUGGAAGCAGAGAACCCUAUACAAAUGCAAAUAGCAAAACUAUCCAGAAUCCGAGAACCCUAUACAAAUUUUGCAUAGAUCAAAAACAAUACAUUUCCAAACAAUGUAGAGAUUAGAGUUUAACAGAGUAACAAAAUAUAUAUAUAAAGGAAAUUACACACUUGCACCCAAGGCAGUGUUUUCUCUAAUUGAACUUUGACAAUGGCGAUUCCUUUUCCCAAUAACAGUGUAUAAAUGUAAAAUUUGAUGGAUUCUCACUUGCAUUUUUUAACUAAGCCUGUGUUUGCAAAGGAAUAAAAAUAAAUGAGGAAGACAAGUGGAAGCACUGAAAUAAUCACCAAAAAAAAAAAAAAAAUUGCCAAAGACGUUAGGUUAAAACUCAUAAUUUGCAGCAGAGCAAAGCAUACAAGCAAAAGUAUAGUAGCAAUGUGAGGACAAAGCAAUAUUAAUUACUCUUACAAUCAUGGAUGAAAAAAACAUGAGAUGGCAAAAUAUAAAAUCAAAUCAAGGAGAAUUUACACCUUAAAAAUGCCACGAAGAAGACUUCAUUUAAAUCCCAUAAGUCUAAAGGAAACGCCCAUCUAAUCCUCAUUGAUGCCCAACAUACUAACACAGAAAUAAGUGUUUCCAAUAUCACUACCCAGUAUCACUUUUGAAACUUCUGCUACAAAUGAGGUAUGCUAACAUUACAUAAUCGUAUCUCUUUUGAAAUAUCAAUUUAUGACUUCGUACAAAAGUAAAUUGACGCAGGGGGAAAAUGUAGGGCUGUCAAUUUUCAACAAGUAAGCUAGAAUAGGGUUGAUUGUAGAUGGAACAGUAAUCAGUAAUUAGGUAUAUAACCUUUGAAUUAAAAUUAUGAGGAAAAUAAGAUGAUUUACAAUGCUACUAGUGCUGUCUACUUAUAGUGAUAAAUCCUAACUAGACUAGGAAUCCUAAUUAAAGAAAGAAUUAGAACUCUACUCCUAUUCAAUGAUAAAAUAGUAAAUCCUAAUCAAAUAAGGAAACGGAAAACUAAUGCAAAUCUGAAAUAAAACAGUAAAUUAAAUAAAAUCCUAGCUGUGCUAAGAAUCCAAUUAGGACUAAGAUUGCUCAUGCAUCAUUCUCCCCGGGUUUGAAAAAGACUCGGCUCCGACGAGUAAGCCUUGAUAUAUUCUGCAUAUAUGGCUAGAUCAACUUGCUUUAGCUCUUCAUCAGAAAUCCAUGUACUUUCACUUGCAGGUUUUCCAAAACACUUAACUAAAAAUCGUCUAUAUUGGUUGUCACGCCUAGAACGAGCUUCCUUGACANNNNNNNNNNNNNNNNNNNNNNNNNNNNNNGAUACAAGUCGGAAACAUUAAAUAUUGGGCUGAUUUUUAAAUCAGAUGGAAGAUCAAUUACAUAGGCAUUGGAACUGAUCUUCUUCAACACCUUACAAGGUCCAAACCUUCUAGAUUUCAGCUUAUGAUAAGUUCCUUUAGGGAAACCUUCUUGUCUUAAGUGGACGAGAACCCGAUCGCCUUCUUCAAAUUCUUGUACGCGCCGAUGCUGGUUGGCUGUAUAGGCAUAUGAUGCAUUGCUGUCUUUUAAGGCAGCUUUCACCUCUAUAUGAAUUUUCCUGAUGUGAUCAGCAAACAAUUCCCCUUCAGCACUUACUCUAGCCUCUUGGGGCAAGGGCACCAAAUCGAGUACAUUCUGAGGUUUAAGUCCAUAAGCAGCCUCAAAAGGAGUCUUCUUAUUACUUCGAUUGACUGAGUUGUUAUAUGUGAAUUCAGCUUGGGGAAUAACUAGAUCCCAUGUCUUUGUACUGGUCCCAACGAGACAUCUUAAUAGAUUUCCCAAACUACGAUUGACAACUUCCGUCUGACCGUCUGUUUGCGGAUGGCAAGCACUGGAAUAUUUCAAUUCAGUUUCAAAUUUUCUCCAUAAAGUCCUCCAAAAGUGCCCCAUAAACUUUACAUCUCUAUCGGAAACAAUAGAAGUUGGAACACCAUGUAGUCUCACAAUCUCUUGAAAAAAUAACUCAGCAAUGUGAACUGCAUUAGAAGUCUUGAAACAUGGGAUAAAAUGAGCCAUUUUAGAGAACCGAUCCACUACAACAAAUAUAGAAUCAAAUCCCUUUCCUGUCUUUGGAAGUCCCAAAACAAAAUCCAUACUCAAGUGAACCCAAGGUGCAUCUAGCUCGGGUAAAGGAGUAUAUAAUCCUAUAUUUUGCGCGCUCCUCUUUCCGAGUAAAUAGGCUAGACAUCGUUCCACCAAUUUUCUCACAUCUUUUUCCAUCUAUGGCCAAUAAUAACGGUCGGAAACAAUCGCAAAAGACUUGUCUCUACCAAAGUGUCCUCCCAAACCAUUUCCAAGAAGUUCUCUAAUGAUUUGUUCCCUUAAAGAUCCUUCAGGAAUGCAUAGCUCAUUGCCUUUGAAUAAAUAACCAUCUUGCAAUCGGUAUGGCAGACUUUCAGCUUCUAAAGAAUGCAGUAAAUCAGCCUUCAUCUUGCCAAAACAUGAAUCUGAAUCAUACUGGUUUUUCAGUUCUUCAAAACCAGUAAUUUGAGUGCUCAAAAUUGACAAAAUUAGGGAUCUUCUACUCAAUGCAUCAGCCACAAUAUUAGAUUGACCGGAUUUAUACUUUAGUGAGAAAUUAAAUUCAUCAAGGAAAGAACUCCACUUAGCAUGUCGAUUGUUGAGUUUAUUCUGAGAUUUUAGAUACCUCAAGGCCUGAUGAUCAGAAAAAACCACAAACUCACGAUAAGCUAAGUAAUGUUGCCAAUAUCGAAUAGCUCUUACCAAGGCAUAUAACUCUAGAUCAUAAGUUGAGUAACGCUUCUUAGCUUCAGACAACUUUUCACUAAAAAACUCAAGAGGUCUGCCCUCUUGGCUAAGAACAGCUCCAAUCCCUUCAUGUGAAGCAUCACAUUCGACAAUAAAUAAUUUCUCAAAAUCUGGAAGUGCAAGAACAGGUGCUCUAGUCAUCAAAAACUUGAUUCUUUCAAAUGCCUUUUGUGCAGAAUUUGUACACUCAAACUUUCCUUCUUUCAUAGAUUCAAUUAUAGGACUCAUAAUUGAGCUGAAAUUUUGGAUAAAUCUCCUAUAGAAAGAGGCCAAACCAUGAAAGCUUCUAACUUCUUUGAUGGAUUGUGGUGCUGGCCAUUCGGUAAUUGCACGAACCUUUUCUGGAUCUGGUUUUAAUCCUUCAGCGGACACAAACAAUAUAUCCCAAGAAUACCACUUCUAGCUGCAGGAAACUGCAUUUUUUUAGGUUUAUGUGCAGCUGCUCUUGACAAAGCACUUCUAACACUUGUCGCAAGUGUUUUAAAUGAUCUUCCUCGGUGCGGCUAUAAAUCAAAAUGUCAUCAAAAUAUACCACAAGAAAAGAAUUCAAGAAAGGUUUGAUUACAUCUGUCAUGACUCUCAUGAAUGUACUUGGGGCAUUAGAAAGGCCAAAUGACAUUACUAACCAUUCAAAUAACCCAUCCGGUGUCUUGAAAGCUGUUUUCUAUUCAUCACCAUGCCUCAUUCUAAUUUGGUGAUAUCCAGUUUUCAACUCAAUUUUGGAGAACACUUUAGAACCCGCUAGUUGAUCAAGCAUAUCCUCCAAUCUUGGUAUUGGAAAGCGAUAUUUGAUUGUAAUCUUGUUUAUAGCACGACUAUCUACACACAUUCUCCAAGAACCGUCUUUCUUUGGUGUUAAUAAGGCUGGGCAGGCACAUGGACUUUUACUUUCACGCACCAGACCUUUUUCCAAUAAUUCCUUAACCUGUCUUUCUAUUUCAGCCCGCUGUAAAGGAGGCAUUCGGUAUGCAGGCAGAUUUGGUAAAGCUGCUCCUGGUACCAAAUCAAUAGCAUGUUGGAUGCUUCUUAAUGGUGGCAAGCUUUUCGGUACAUCUUCAUUAAUCAGCUCCUUGAAUUCUGCAAUAAUCGUUGAAUUUCAAAGGAAUAUUCAACUGAUUUUCAACCUGGUCAGCCCCUAUUAGUUUGCUCACUAAGGCAUACGUGACUCCCACCUCACUAUGCGCAGCUGCAAAUUCUUGAACACUUACAAGCCCAUUUAAUUUACUAAUUGCAGCUCCUUUAUUUGCUAUUUGCCUUGUUUCUUCCUUGAGAGGAUGCAAAGUGUACUUCUUGUUGUCCUUGUAGAACGAAUAAGUAUUAGGCCUUGUCUUGUGGUCCAUAUCAUGAUCAUACAACCAAGGUCGUCCCACUAGAAUAUGCCCAACAUCCAUUGGUACUACAUCACAUAGUGCUUCAUCUGCCAAGUCAUCUCCCAUUGUGAAUUGCACUAAGCAUUGAGAUGUUACUGGUAUCUCGUGUCCUUUCUUCAACCAACCUACUUUGNNNNNNNNNNNNNNNNNNNNNNNNNNNNNNNNNNNNNNNNNNNNNNNNNNNNNNNNNNNNNNNNNNNNNNNNNNNNNNNNNNNNNNNNNNNNNNNNNNNNNNNNNNNNNNNNNNNNNNNNNNNNNNNNNNNNNNNNNNNNNNNNNNNNNNNNNNNNNNNNNNNNNNNNNNNNNNNNNNNNNNNNNNNNNNNNNNNNNNNNNNNNNNNNNNNNNNNNNNNNNNNNNNNNNNNNNNNNNNNNNNNNNNNNNNNNNNNNNNNNNNNNNNNNNNNNNNNNNNNNNNNNNNNNNNNNNNNNNNNNNNNNNNNNNNNNNNNNNNNNNNNNNNNNNNNNNNNNNNNNNNNNNNNNNNNNNNNNNNNNNNNNNNNNNUCUCUUCAUUGUAUUUAUUAGUAGCAGCAGCCUCUUUCCCGCUUCGUUGAGUUGUUUGAAUCCCUCUUGCAGGUCCGAAAUUGUUUUGCAAAUUGCUUCUGUUUAUGGGCCUUCUAGCACCGUAACGAGAAACUCGCUUUUCAGCUGCUAAGGCAUAUUGGCGAGCAUCUUCAAGAUUGUGUAAUCGCAAUCGGACCAUUUCAUCUCUAAGGGACUGAUUCAAACCAGCAAGGUAGCGAGAGGGAAUUUGUUCAUUACUUUCAGAUAUUCCAACUUGAAUGGACAAAUUAUUAAAUUCUGCAGUGUACUCUUCAACAAACAUGCUAUUUUGUUUCAAGCAAUGGAACCUUUCAUAUAGUUCCAUUGCGUAAUCAGCUACUAAAAAUUGCUUCCUUAGCUUAGUUUUCAUGUGCUCCCACGUGCUGAUUUUAAGCUUUCCUUGUCGUGCACGCUGCUCCUCAACUCUCUUCCACCAUUGAAGUGCAGUACUCUUUAAUUUAAGCUUUACAAAAAGCACUUUUCGGGUUUCAACCAUUGGUUUCCAUUCAAAAUAAUUUUCUAAACUAGUUUCCCAAUCUAAAUAGUCUUCGGCAUGCGAUUUCCCAUGAAAAUCAGCGACUUCAAUUUUAACUCCUCCACUAUUUAAAUCAAGGGCAUGAAGUGAACGCUCUUCCAAUCUGCCUCGUGCUGCUGGGUUUGCAGGUCCAGCUUCAUGAAAGGGGUUUACGUCCUCGACUUCCUCUUCGCUCUCAAGAGCUUCUUGAAAAUCAAGGUUUUGAUGGUUGCCUUCCGGAGUCUCCAUUCAGGCUUCCAUGGGUUCCUGACGCUGCAAGGCUUGUACAGCCCGGGUCAAAUCCUCAAUCAUUCGCCAUAUCUCAGCUAUUUCAUCUUGUUGGGGCUGAUUACCUCUGCCUCUGCCUCUGCCUCUGCCUCUGCCUCUUCCAACCAUGGUUUAAUUCAGACAAAAAAAAAAGAAUUCUAGCAUCUGUUUUUGUGCUCUGAUACCAGUUGAUGCAGGGGGAUGAUGUAGGGUUGUCAGUUUUUAACAAGUAAGCUAGAAUAGGGUUGAUUGUAGGUGGAACAGUAAUCAGUAAUUAGGUAUAUAACCUUUGAAUUAAAAUUAUGAGGAAAAUAAGAUGAUUUACAAUGCUACUAGUGCUGUCUAUUUAUAGUGAUAAAUCCUAACUAGACUAGGAAUCCUAAUUAAAGAAAGAAUUAAAACUCUACUCCUAUUCAAUGAUAAAAUAGUAAAUCCUAAUCAAAUAAGGAAAUGGAAAACUAAUGCAAAUCUGAAAUAAAACAAUAAAUUAAAUAAAAUCCUAGUUGUGCUAGGAAUCCAAUUAGGACUAGGAUUGCUCCUGCAUCAUAAAUACAGGCUAGAACAGAGUUUAGAUAUUGAGCAGUGUAACAUUUGCAUGUGCUUGCACACCAAAAAACAGUAUUGCAUUCUAGAAUAUAAAAUCACAUAGAUGAUAGAUGUGCCAACGCUUUUUUCAAUCAACCUUGUGAUGUUUAGCCCAUCAGGUCAAGAAACCACAUUCAGAAUCCUAUAAUGUUUUAUUAAAAGGAAGUUAAAAUAAAGGAUUUUCAAAUUUUUGAUCUGAAUGAAACUCUCUUAUAUCAUGUGAUCUACAAUACACUCCAUGAGGAUGCAAGAAUCCAUUCUAACAGAAAGAUGAUGAAGAAAACAAUCAUGGAACACUGCCUGAAUCAUUUUCCCAGCAACUUAUGAAAGCAUUUAUAUUCUAAUCUCAAGUGGUUUUCCCUCAUUUUAAAAAAUAAGCAUCUCAUCUUUAAAAUGAAAGAGUACCAAUAACUUUAAUUGCAAAGGCAUUACCAUAAGGUUCUUUAACUACUUAUGCCCGCAUGUCCUCAACAUCAUGCACAACGUAGAUAUAGUUUUAGCUUUGAUAUGUAAGAAUAUAAAGCGCCAAACUUUACGUUCUUUUAUAUCUGCAUUCAACUAACUUCCCAAGACAAAAACAUUUAAAAGGACAAAGUGGUUUCCAAGAUGAAAUAAUGUCAUCACGAGACUUCGACUUAAUAGUAAAUAAUAUUAAUAAAAAUGAAAAAGCAACACAGACCUGCCAUAUUCAUCAACAAGCAUGCCUUCCAUUUCUCUGAUAGGGUCAUCUACAGCUCGCUCAGCUCGAGAUGGACGUCUAAGGGAAAAUCCAGCCGACGAAUCAUCAUUUGAAACUCCAAUAUCAUCCAUAUAGCGCCUCAAAACAGAUUCAGGUAAAAUUUUCCUCUCAAGCCACAAACGUAGAACCUGGUGAAGAUGAUGGAUCUAUUUAUACCUUCAAUGUAAAAUAUAAAGCAGUUUCUGCAAAUACAGAGAGGAAACAGAUUUUGCCUUGAGACACUGACGGCGGUUUUCACGAGCACCAGCCCCUGGAGGAGCAGCAGCACUAAGAAGACGUGGCAAUGCUGCUUGAACUGUUGGAACGUAUGAAGCCCCAGCAAUCCCUGAAGACAUAUUACAUAAAAAAUUAUAGCCGCAAUCAAAGAAACACAAGGAUUAACUUGGAGAUGCAAAUUUUGAAAGAACAAUGGCUAGGCAGGAGAAAGCAACCUUUUUGAUUAUGUGAACACUGGGUGAUCGAAUCAACAAGAAAGAAGAGGUCAACCUUACGAUGGAAACUGGGCUCACUUUCCAAUUUUCGAAUUAGAAGUUCCACAACCUGCACAAUCAAUUUGCUUAAAUUGAAGUCUAUCAACAUCAAUAUGACACUGUAACUUCAUUUCUGUAUCAAUAUGAAUAUGACAACCAUGUCAGUUCCUUUCUGUAUCUAUCAAUUCCCAUCACAAAUUUCCAACUUAAACUAGAUUAUCGAUUCAAGGUAUAUGUGAAAACUCUCUAUUAUUAAUGAUUUUCAAAAGUUAAAUAAAUGAAGGAGUUAGUACAUAACGGAGAAGAUAGAAAUGCUUUAUCUCAAAUUCAGACUUGAAGGGAUAUUCCUAUCUUUAACAAAGUGCCAAUCCACAAAAAGGAGAUUUAUACCAGGGACUGGUUACACUUAAAGAAUCAAAUGCAUCCAUUCAAUAUGUACAUUUGCUUGUGUUCAUAAGUCAGCACUUAAGAGAUGUGAAAGUCCACAGGAUGAUAAAAAAUCGUAUUACUUAACUAACCACCUAUGCUGGAUAAUAUGGAUCAACUUCAAAAUUUUGGUGAUCUCAUCAUUCAGUCUCAAUUAAACCAUUCUAACCAUGAUAAAAUCUAGAGUGCACCAUAUCAAUCUGGAAAGCACCAAAUUAAUACAUUUUUUCUUAGUAAAUUUUAAAAUGUUCGGGCCAUUGCAAGUCUCCACCACUGAGACACUACGAUAUCAACAAGGGAAGCUCCAUGAAAAGUAUCUCAAACACAGGCAGCUUCAGGUUACCAAUUAAUGCAUUGUUUUCAUAGCAAAUCUCAAAACGUGAGGGCCAUUGCAAGUUUCAACCACUGAGACAUUAUGACAUUAAGAAGGGCAGCCCAGUGAAUAGUACCUCAGAACAAGCAGCUUCAGGUUUCUAGCAGGAAAGUUUUUAUUGUGGUGGAGUCCUUGAAUAGAUUACAAGUAAUUUUGAAAAUGAACCAAAAUUUUGUUGAAACGUCAUUCCUAACUAGGUUUUGGAAAAUCACCAUGACGUUAUCACUUUCGCUCUUGACUUUAUCCUAAAAUACCUAUGUCAGAUAAGAAUACAUGAAUAUAAUAUGAUGCUUCAAAUAAGUAGAGAAUUUAUAAAUACAUCUAAAAAUUUAUUUCCACUCCCAUGGAUCAGCAGUAAAGAAAAUCCAGCAAAGGAAUAAAAUUCAUAAUAAUUAAAAAACCAUGAAAUAUAAAGAAUUAUGUAACCGCUAACAAUUUCUUUUGAAAUAGUGAUACGAGGAAAUUGAAUGUACAACCUCCUCAUCAGACAAGAGAUGUUACAACCAAUUAGAACAUACCUCAGGUAUGGCAACACAUUAACAAUCAACCAUUUUCAUUUUGCAAGAGAAUCAAUGACAAACAAUAAAGAACAGAAAACAUGUAGUUAACCUACCUCAUUGGCGAUGCCGUACUUGGCACAGUCAAUUGCAAGACGAGUUGCACGCCCAAUACUUUCUUUCGUUCUCGAUAAAGUCUCUAUCAUGCCUUCAAAAGCAUCACGGGAAACAGCAGCCUCAGUACCACCACUCAGUGAGCCUCCAGCAGCCCUGUGUCCAGAACUCACUCUUUGCUCCUCAAUUUCUUCAGCAUCUACUUGGUCGUGUGAAGCUGAUUGACGAACAUGAGUAGAUGGAGAAACUAGAUUUACACGAUGAUAAAAGGCCUGGGAAUCCGUCUGUAACAUGGUACUGGUGCCAGGUAAAAAUGGUUGGACUGGUGAUGGGCUGGGACUCCUUCCCUGAGGAUCAUUAAUGGAAAAAAAUGAAGAACCAGGGUUCCCAAGAGAGAAAUGUUGCGAGUGAGCUUCACGCCUCUUUGCUUGAGCAGCUGCAAUGAGAUGCUUCAUGGACAUAACCGAUUCUGGAGUUCUGGUAUCAACUAAAGAACUGCCUCUAUCUUCCAUACCACCUUCCAGUCUGUAAUUAAGUAAGAACAUAAAAUAUAGUCAUUGAUAGAACAAAUAACAAAUAUAUGAUAGAAUCAAAAAAAUACAAGCAUUUCACCAGGCAAAGGAUUAUACUCUGUUGAAGUUUCUGUUAAAACAAUAGGGUCACUCGUCCUUGGCUUUGGAGUACUUUUGGGUCUUUCUCCAGAUACAAAUGCUCGAUUUCUUUGACUUACCACAUGAUUUUGGGAGGCAUUAAAACUAUCAGAAACCAGAACCGAAGUUUUACCAGACCCAGUCUGGACCCUUUUCUGAGUAACACCACUAGGACCUUUAACUAAAGGUUUAGCAGGUUUGAUGACAGGAUAUGGAUGGGGAGACUUCUUGGGGGAAGUCACCAAUGAUUUGCUGUCCUUAGACAAUAACUGAUAAGCUUCUGAUUUCCCAGGACUAAGAAAGUCAUGAGCAUCAGGACUCUUCACACUUUUCAGUGGGCUAGGUGAAAGAGAAUCAUUAUGAAAUUGUGAAGAUAAUCCCUUUGAACUGCUAUGCUCAACUUUGGUAGAAUCUUCAACACUGGGCUGAAUAUUAAUAGAACUUAGAUGCUGUUGAUUAAGAGAACUUCCAAUGUUAGAAUCAUUUCUUGAAGAAGUAUUAGAAACAGCUGAAGGCGCUCUAAUACUUUUGUUGGAUACUCCAAGAACUGGAGUUUUAGGCUCUUCAUCUUCAUCAUCAUCAUCAUAAAGGCAAACAGCUCUCCGUCUUUUAGGCAAUUGAUUAACCAGAACUCUAGAAUUGUUAGAAGCAGAAUCGGUCUUCAGAUCUAGAGAAUUUUUUUCAGUUUUAUCAUUGGAAUUGAUUAUAGGAGAGUCAGACAUUGCCUCCAAUGCACGCCUACGACGUUUUGAUACAGGCAGCACAGCUUCAUCAUUGGAAACAUCAGAUUUAACUUUAACUUGGGCAGGAACAUCAGAUCUAGCUUUACCCACUUGGGUAGAUGCAUUAGAUUUAACUUUGCUUGCUGGAGGAGAAGCAUCAGAUUUAGCUUUACCCACUUGGCUGGAGACAUCAUUUUUAAGUUUGCCAGUUUGGGAUAGAAUAUCAAUUUUAAGUUUCCCUGUCUGAGCAGAACCCUCAGAUUUCACUUUUCCUCUUUGGGCUCUUAACGCCAAAAGAAUUUCUCUUCUCUCAUUGAAUGUGGACUGUUUGAAUGGAUUAGAUCUCGGAGAAUCAGUCUUCAGGUUUUUUAAUUUAGAUUCACUGCCCAAAUCCUCACCUUCACCUACAUUCUUUGAUUUCUUUCCAGGAUGUAGAGAUUCAAUUGUUUUUUCAAGCCCAGAUUGGGGCCUCUUUUUCUUGUCAACGGUAUCACCUGAGCUAUUGGACACAUUCUCAUGCGUUCUAUCAAGCACCAUAGCUUUUUUUUUGCCUUUUUCUAGUUCUUUUGCUUUUUUUCCAGUUCUAACCAAAGAAUCUGACUUAACAGCAUCUGGAGAAAAAUCCACUAUAGUGCCACCAGAAGCAUUAUUUUCUUUUCCUCCACCUUUCAUUUUUUCAUUACUACCAGGGAAGGCAUAGCGACUGCUUUUACAAACUUCAUUAUCAAUUUCAGUUCUCCUCUUUGAUUCAGUAGUCAUAUUCUUAGACUUAUGCCCAUUCGCCCGUGCUCUCUCACCAUUUCCAUGGUUCUUUGUGCAACUAAGAUCUUCAUUUACAUCAUCAGAAACUUCAUCCUUUACAGAGGAAGGAUUGUCAGAACAGGGUUUACAUAAUACCAACUGUGGUGAUUCACCAUUGGACAUCUUAGCUUCCUCCUCAGGGGACAUAACUGGGGACGAACUGUCUUUCACAUUACAUGAUAUAGAAGGCUUUACAUCUUCAUACUCAGUCUGGCCCUGUCUCUGUGAACAUUGCUUUAAAUUAGAAUUAAAAUCACCUUCUUCAUCCCAUGUUUCUCCAUUUGAUCCAGCUGUGCCCGUCCCAUCAUUUAAAUCACCCUCUAUACCAUCUCCUAUCCCAUCAGUAGAUGGAGCCUCACCACCAAAUGCUAGUCUAUCAGUAUCAUCUAGCAACCCACUUGAUUUUUCCUUCUGUAAUUCUUGAAAUGCUGUACAGAUUUCCUUCACAGCUUGGGCAAAAUACUUCGUCUUACCUUGGCAUCGAGCUGACAAUUUAUUCAUUAAUUCACUAGUAAACACCUGAAUAUCAGCAGGUGCAACAAAAGCUCUGCAGCAGAACAAAAGCUAAGUAAUGAGGAAUAGACUCUAACCUUCCAUCAAGUAAUGUACUAUGGCAGGACUAAACUAGUAUAUUUUCCCCCAUGAUGUUUCAACUUCUUUUUUAAAAAUUUUCGUUUAGCUAGUAUAAAUUUACGAUAGGAUGAUGACAAGAUAAUGACAACUGAAAGAGCUUGCACUGGAUAGUCUACGGAAAGUUGUUAUGGUCCUAAAGCAUAUUUCAUACUUACAGCAAAACUAAGCAUAAUAAAAACUGCAAACAGAUUACAGAAAAAAUAAAUUUGGAAAACCUUUUCCUUUGCCAUAUCUAACAGUGAAAACAAAGUUCAUUAGAGACUUCAUAACUCUUCUUCCAAAAACAAGCAGUGUUCCCUGCCCCCAACCUUCCAUGGAAUAGGGGAAAAAAAGACAAAAUUGAAAAGUAAGCAAUGUCAACCCAGUGUACUAUGGUAUGUCCAUUGCCACUAGUAUCAAUGAAGAUUAUCAUCAUAAACACCCUUUUGCCGACAUGCAAUAAAAUAUAGAAGGACUGGAUCCACGAGGAAUUAACAUGCCCAGGGAUGAUGCAUACUUUUAUGCAAAAUUUUGAAAUUUAACAUUGGCAGGAAAUCUUACAGGCAUAACUUUACCAGAAAUAUGACCAUAAAACUGAAAUAAAUGCACAUAUGAGUUACUGCAACAACUAACAAUCAGCAAGAAAUCCUAUUCCAACCACUUGUUAUUAAAGAGCUUUUAUUUUAAAAUAAAAAAAUUUUAAAAAAAAAUACUUACAUUUCUUGAGUGCCAAAAAAUUGGACAAAAUAUUUCUUUGGAUCAGGGGGUCGCUCCCAAUCUUCAGGACGGCUUAUCUGAAAAAAAAAUAUAAUAAGUCCAGCUCAAAUACUAGCAAGUUAACAUAUAACCUUAAAGUCUCACCUAAGUAAGCCAAGUGGGAGAAGGAAGCUUUAAUCCAAUUUGAUAUCAAUAGGCAAUUUGUACAAAUAAAACCCAUGAAACAUACAAUCAAGGUUAAUCUAUUACCUUUGAGUUGUCGGUAAACAUAUCAGAAAAGGCUAGGAAAUUACUCAAAAUAAAUAUAUCAAAAAAGAAAGAUAAAAGGGAUAGAAAAGGAAAGAUUAAAAGAGGCCCCACUAUAAAACUGAUCUAAAAUAGUAGCCAAACCUAAUCUUACCAUGAAACCACAAAAAAAAAUUAUGUUAUUUAUGCCCAAAUAUACAACAGAAGUCAUACUAAUACCAAAUGUUCAACAGAAACAAGAAAAAAUAUCAUUUGAACUUUCCCAUUAAAAUAAAGGAAAAGGAUACAAGUGAACUGCACAGUUAAAUCCCAAAAACUAAAAUAUCAACGGAGAAAAAUUAAAUCCAAAGAUAUGACGUCCACUUAAAUAGCACCCAUGUAACAAUUUCAAGAGGAGGACAACUGUAACUUCAGUUCCCAGCAAAUGGGGAAAGUGACCUUCACAUCCAAUAAUGGGAUACCACAAAUAGCAAUAAAUAGGAAUAUUAGCAUGUAAUGGUGUCCAAUAUGAAACCAUAACUCCCACAUAACCAAAAAUUCUGACAUAAGUGACCGUGUAGAAGAUCCUCCGAGGAAUUUUAUGGUUGCGCAAAUCAAAGAGAAUGAUAAAUAGGCUCGAACCUAGUCAGAAACCAAAGGGAUUUAUUAUUUUGCCUGACUCAAAUUUGAACCAAAAUAAACCAAAAUCCUUCGGCGAAACAAUGAUAUGCAGGUCUACAAGGCACUCAAAGUCAAUAAUGCAACAGAGCUACUGAAAAGGCAGUAUUAAAACUAAUUCAUAAACAUAGGGAAUUAUUAGAUGAUGGACAUAAUCAAUUGAUCAAAAUUGAAUGAGCCAAAUAAAGCAAAAGGAAAAUACCUUGGCAGGCCAAGCAGGGAAACCCUUGACUUUAGCAAGAACGAGAUCGCCCAAGCUUAAUUGACUCUUCGCCUUUGCCUUGUUGGCUCCUUUUUUACGCCCCGGAGCCAUAGGCGUUGCUUGUAAUGCUGUUGAUGAUGGUGUUGAUUGCACCAGAACGCAACGAGAAAAGAGAAACCCUAAAAUUCAACAAGCAGAAUCGAAAACGAUCGAAUUGAAGAAUAAAACAAUAUCGAAUCCAAUUGAAUAAAAACCCUAAGGAGAUACUCAAAUAAACCUCGCCGGAUAUGUCACCGGCGGCAGCGUGCCGGUUAGGGUUCCGGCGACUGGCUCGCUAGGGCAUCGAAGGAGAAAAAGCGCGAAGGUUAUGCAUUAAGAAUGUUAGGCUUAAGAGACUGCAGAGAGAUUGCAGGUUUAAGCAUAAAAGACAUUGAGGCGGUCGACAGAAAGUAGAUUUUGAUAGAGAAGCAUUGGAUUGGGGCUAUUUAGUAAAUUUCCAGGGGAUCUUUUACGCGGAAGUCGUAUUGUCGCCUGUCGGCGUAGUUGCGAAGCUUUUUAUCUUGGUUAAAUUCCAUACUGUACUCUCACAUGGGCUGUUAAAGACCUGACUAGCGUUUCACAAUGUUUAUUUUUCACUCGUUGGUUAUAUUUAUUUAUUUAUUUAAAAUACUAAACAUAAUAACAUAAUAUUAAAUAGAAAUAUUAAUGUUUUGUUUGGAUGAAAGGAAGGAGUGAUAGUUAAACUGAAGUACAGUAAAAUAUGGUAUGGAAAAAUAUAAUAAUCAUAUUUUUUGUGUUUGUGGAGAAGAUAUAGUAAACGAAGUUUAAUAACAUUUUUUGGUUUGAUUUGAUGGUAAGGAAAUGCAUCGUAAAAUAUAAAGAUUACGAAAAUACUCUUAUCAUGAAAAAUUUAUAAAUAUAAUUAUGAAUAAUUUUAGAAAUCAGAUUUUUUAACCAUACUUACAUCUCAAUUCGGUGAAUUUAAGAUUGAGUUUCCAACCUCUUAAAUAACUUCCAAAAAAUCAUCAUCUCCUUUAAAUUCUCACCCCAAACCACUAAACAAACUCUCUUUAUCUUACCUUAUUAUCCAAACUCACCAAAUAACCUUCAUCCAAACAAUAUGUAAAGGUAUACGUUAAUAUUAGUUCUUUUAAUAAUUGUUAGCUAUUAUAAUAGUUGUUUAUAUAGUGGUUUAAUUAGAAGUCUUCAGUGAAAUGGUUGUUUAAUUUAAAAUGACAAAAAAGAUUAAAAAAAAUAAUGGGUAUGAUUGUUAAAAAAUUUUAAUUUAUUUCUAUAAAAUGCUAAAUAUUAGCUAAUAAAAAACUCCAUCAACCUCUCUAAAAACUAUUAUAAAAGUUAUAUUACCAAAUGGUACCAUUAAUAAAAAUAAAGUUUUGAUUACCGUUAAAAACAAGCUCAAAAGUGGUUGCCGAAAAGUUUACAUGAAAAACAAAAAUAAAGGAUAAAUAGUGAAAAAUAAAUUAAAUGACGUAUUACUGAAUUAUUAAUUUAUAAUUUUAAAUAUAGUUUUUAAAAAUAAUUAUGCUUAACAAUUAAGCUUGUCAUGAUAUGUUGUUUGAUUUAUGUAAAUAUUAUCAUCUUCUAGCUAAAUUCCCCUAAAAAUUUUUAUGUUUUUAUUUUGUUGAUUCUGUAAUAAUCUUUUAGUCAACUUUUGAUUUUUUUUUCUGCCAUUUUGUAAAAAACAAAUAGAAAUAGGCUUUUACUAGUCUACAAAAAGUAUAAUUUUUUUAUCGGUAAAGAAACGUUAACCAAAUUACACGUGUUAAAAGGAAAAUUUUAAAUUAUAUGAUAACCUAAAUUUACGAAUUGCUUUUACCGAUUAAAUUAGGUUUACAUUAAUUAAAUUGAUAUUUUCUGAAAGUAAUGUUAUUAUUUCACUUCCUCUUUAUCUAUGUUAUUCACUUUCUUUCAUUCUUCUUAAUUGUUAGUUAUAUCACUUUUUUUUUUUUAGGAUAAACUGAAUCAUAUAUUAAGAAAUAGGAGCUAACUCCAAAGCAACAAGAUGGUGCAUAGAGGGAGGAACCUCCUCUAUAAGGAUAAGUUCAUUAAUAUCUAAAGAGAAAGCCUCGAAGGUUAGAGAAUGACCUACUGUAAUACCACGAAUUUUUAUUUUUGAAACUUUUGAAUUUUUAUUAAAUUAAAAAUCGCAAAUUUUGGCCGAGUGGGAUGCAAAUAUAAUAUGGUCUCAAUUCGAGCCCAAAUUAUCGAAUUGGGCCCAAGCCCAAAAUAGAUUAUUCAGAAAUUUUCGAUUUGAGAACAAUUAAAAUUUUCAAGACACAAUAUGAAACACCAGUGAUUAAUCUAUUAUAAAUAUAUAUAAAUUAAUUAUCUUAAGAUCAUAUAUCAUUACUAUUAAUAUUAUUAUUAUUAUUAUUGAGUAAAUAGAGAAAAUGUGGCAGAAUCUAACUAAAACAAUCAAAAAAAAUCGAACUGGACCGGGGAAUUAAAUUGAUUUUUGAAAAUCACAAGAAUAACCUGAAAACCAAGUGAAAAACCUGCAAACCGAGCAAGAAUCGAGCCAAAUCGUUGAAUCAGACCAAACCAGUUCGAAUCGAACCGGAAUGAUCUAGAAACAGACAUACUUUCUUUAUUUUUCUUUUCUUUCUCUCCUUCUUCUUCUCGAGUCGCGCACCCCCUCCCUCCUCCCUCUCCUUGCGUCUCCAGCCACAAGACUAAUGGUGGUGAGUGGCGAUCGACCUAUCUCAUGCUGCCGGUAAUGUCGCCCGUCCUCCUUCGUGCCGAUCAAGCCCUCAACAGUGGCGAUGCAAGCUCCUCCUGUUACACCUCCUUUGCGACGCGAUUGUCUCCUCUACAACAACGCCAUUCUUCGCUGAAGCUCGAUGGUUUCGGUGAUCUAUGGCUUAGAUCGGUCAGAAACCAAGCUUGAAUAUGUGUGAAUUAAUGGUUUGGUCACCGGAUGAAGCUUUGAUUUCGAUUUGAGUUGGUUUAGGAUUUUGUGCUAAAUUGGGUGUUGAAAGGUGAAAUUGAUUUGAGAUUUGGGUUCCUUGUGAAAAUUCGAGUUGAAGGACAUGUGAAUCGUGAAAUUCUGGGCAGAAUCAGGUUCCCGGCCAAACAUACAUGACGGCGACGGCGAUGGUCUGACGACACUCCGGCGAGGCUUCAAGAGGCAGAAUGCUCUCCUCUUCGUGCGGAUCACAGAAAUAAAAUCCAAUUUUCGAUCGGUACACUCUAAGACUCAAACUGCGAUUUUUGGUAUAAAUCCCGAACUAAUUAAUUAAUGAAUUACUUGAGUAUUUAGGUGAAUUAAAUUGAACAUUGCUAAGUAUAGUUCUUGAAUAUUAGUUAUAAGAUUGAUAUUGAAGUAAGAAUUCUAGCUAAUAAUUAUAUAAGUGAAUUUACGGAAUCUUAAGAAAUAUAAAUAGGAGGAAUUAUAAUUUAUGGUAUAAACAGGUAAUUAAAGGUGUUAUAGAAAUAUGAUUGUAGGUUAAUAUCAAGUAAAAUUUAAUUGGUAUUAUUAUUAUUAUUAUUAUUAUUAUUAUUAUUAUUAUUAUUAUUAUUAUUAUUAUUAUUAUUAUUAUUAUAAUAUUCUUCAUCGAAUAACUAGAAAUUUUAUCUAAAGGUUAUAAAUUGAAAUAAAUAAAUCAAUAAGAAAACACUAUAUAUAUAUGUACAGUGUAGUUUGACAAGUUAAGUAACUAAUAACCAAAACUAAUAAAUGAAUGUGAAAACAUUUUCGAAUUAGAAUUCUUAUUUAGAAUUUUCUUAUUAUUUUAUAUGCUUAUAAGGUUCCGGAAUAUGAAGACAAAAGCUGGAAGCGUGCAGUAGUAGAGAUAGUCCUAUGAAGGACAAUAAAGAACUGUGAAUAGUGUUAGAUAAUUCGCCUCAUCCGCCUGCAUUCAUGCAUUCACGGCUAAAUGUUAUCAUGCAUUAUUGCCAUAUUGUGAUGCACUAUUUGUUGAUAUUAAAUAUUGCUUGAUUACUUGUGAUGUGAUAUUGCUGUGCCUUGUUUGUGUGGAAUUGGGAUGAAGUGGGUCACCAUGGGUUUGUGAGACUGUUUCUGUUAUACGGAUCCUGAUUCUGAUUUCUGUUAUAUCUGUUACUGCUAUAUGGAUCCUGAUUCUGAUUUCUGUUAGCCGGGUAAAUGGGAGAUCGG
rnacentral:lncRNA from 1 species